rnacentral:lncRNA from 1 species
ACGUCCUCGACUUCGUCCUUGUCCCUCUUCCUCUUGGCCGAUACUUCUUUGCUUGAACCGCCUACUUGGCUGUUGCUCUUCAUCCAACCCUUGUAGAUAUUGAAACAAAGGUAGCCAUCCAUUGCAACGUACUGGAUGUGGUCUAUAUCUAGUACAUUCCGCUGCCAUGAAACGUGUAUGGAGGUUUCUCCAGUUUACCGUACGAAGGAUGAACCAUGGCUCCUGCCAGGGUCAACAUUGAAGGCUGACGAGAGGGCACCAGCCGAUUCUUCUGGAGGUCGAAGGGGUUUCCUACAACGAGGCCUAUCCGACGCAGGACUUCUUUGUCAUUCUUAAAGUCUACAGUAACGAAUUUGACUGUUUUGUCCUCGAGGAAGUUCUUAAAAUACUGGCACUCAACGUCGGCAUGGCAUAUGUGGUAGACCAAGCAAACGUUAUGUACGCAAACCUGGAUCACGGCGGGCUUCUUCCUCUCUUCGUCCUUUAGAUCCUUCUCUCGUCCCAUGACUGUGGUGUACUCAACAUCUAGCCCAGCGACCCACUCAUCAUGUGAGUUUUCGAACAUGCGUCUGAAGCGAGAAAGGCAUCCUUUCACCGUCGCGGAAGUACGGGUGUAGAUGACGUCGAACUCAUCGCCGGUGAUGGUUCUAACCUUGUACUCACCGCCGAUCGGGGAGAUUUGGGACGGCAUGGAUUUGGGAGGAGGGUUAGGAUUAGUGGAACUGCCGUAAUGUGAAUGGACGGGACGACUAGGAGCAAACCGCCGUAGUAUUAAAGGACGUGCGGGGACGAGUAGGAGCGAACUGCCAGCGUGCGAACGAUAGGGUAGUGGCUUUCCAUUCUCCCAUGAUACGGGCUUCCGAGAGCCCUUGGAUCUGAGAUCGAAUGGUUGCAUGGCGUGAUUCUAGACCAGUGGGUGAAUAUCCUAUCCUGGAGGGUUAUUCUUAAAAUUUUCAACAACUUAGCAUGCGACCGUUUGAUCUCAAAUCCAAGGGCUGCCAGCAGCCCAUAUCAUGGUCGCGCCUACCACGACUGUCGCGCCGCUCGCACGGUCGCACCCUUGGAGAUUUAACACGGUGCGUUAGGCUAUCUGAUGUUGGCAUGUCAUACAUAGUCAUCACUUAGUCACUCAUACUACAACAAGGUUGGCUAUAAGUGUAUUUUUUUACUCCUCUCUAUCUCUUUAUUCAUACUCCCUCCGUCCCAUAAUAUAAGAACGUUUUUAACACUAGUAUAGUGUCAAAAACGUUCUUAUAUAAUGGGACACAGGGAGUACUAGUAUUUAUUGCAUUUGCAAAGGAGUGACCUCUUCCAAUGAAAUGGUGUUGCUAAGUUUGCUUCAUUUAAUUAGCUAUAGACUCAAAAUUGUUUUUUCACCUAGGUACACGCGCUUAGCACCGUUUCUUCCUUGGGUCACCAAACUAGACUCUCUCUUCUUGAUUAACUUGCCACAUUAGACUUUAUGCCUAUGUGGCAAGCUUAAGCACCUGUAGGAGCAAGUAAGUACAAUAGUGCGCUUUACAUGGCAUUUUUGCAUAUGUGGAGGAAAGAGAGGCAAGGAAAAAGUGGAGAAGUGGGCUCUCAUGCAAGAGCCAGCCUCUACUACUACAUGGUUGAGCAUUGGGAGAGGCACUUGUAUGGAGGUGGUCAGGAAUCGGGAGACUCACGCCGGUCGUAGCGCCGCAGUUAAAAUGAUAAUGGCAAGUCAAAUCAUGGGGCCCCACCUAUCCAGCAGUAACUCGCUGUCAAAUCACAUAGCCAUACAUUUGCAGCAGCCUACUCCCUCAUCUUCUCGCGUCUCUGUCGAACCGACUAGGCGGAACUGCCCCGCCUACUAUGACACUCCAAAAUUUUAAUUCGGUUUUUUAUCAAAAACCUUGUGGUUUUCUUUGAAAAGAGGCCAUUUAAAUUUUUCUUUCAGAAAACCUUCCUCUUAAAAACUUCCUUUGCUUGGCAAGGAUUUUAUUUUUUCAAACUUUGGUGUUUGAUCUUUUGAAACUUCUUCUCUGUUGGUUCUCUCUCAAAUUUAUUUUGGGAGUUUAAUCUUUUUCUUUUAAAAUGAAACUCUAUGAAAAACUUGGGAUUUUCAUAUCUUGAAAACCACCCAUGACUUUGCAUUUUUGCCCAUGUGAUAAAACCCCUCCAAAACCUCCCCUACUCCUUGUGAUCAACCUAAGUUCUCUGUCCCAACUAAUCCAAGCAAGUUUUGGAUUUUAUUCUAAUUAUUUUUCCUCUCAAAUCAAUUCUGAAAAUUAUCUGGAGCCUGAGUGAUUUUCAAAGCAAGUACCCUUUUGCAUUUGAGUUUUGACCUCAAACCAACUCUCCUGGUUAGUCCUUUGUACCCACAACUCAGAACCAUCUUGAUCCACUCCUCUUUUCAAAUUUUUCAAAAUUCAGUCUCUGCAAGUUUGGACCAGAUUUGCCAAAUUUGAUGAAAUUCAUAUCUACACUCCUCCACAAAUUCCACCAAAAUUCAGGCAGCCUACUUGAGCAAUGAGAAGCCACUCCAUCAAAAAUCAGCUCAAGGAAAAAUCACCAGAGGCCAAAUUCAUUCUGUCGAACACCUUGCAUGCACUGCUGCUGUUCAAAAUUCAGAAAAAUUCAGUUUCAGUGUCGUUUUCGUCCGUCAGUUUCUAUCACGCGUAGACAGUGCGCUUGGCUCGAUGCUCGUAGCCCCUCCCUCUUGUCCGGAGCUUCACACGCGUGCGUGGAGCCUUCCUGGCAUCGGUGGCGCGCUGGCCCGCCCUCACCGGCGUCUUUUGCAGCAUCGGGACCUCCCGUGGCGGCCGACAGAAGGCACACCACGGCAGAACGCCGUUAAGCGCCGCCCAAAGCCCCUUGGCUCUCCGCGUGUCCCUGCUGUGCCAGCGCACGCCCGUGGCACCGUCGCCGUGGCCCGGCAAGCACGGAACGUGCUCCCUGCCGCCGACGGGCCGCGCCACCCCCGUUCCGUCGAGCUCGCCCAUAACACCAAAUCCCAGCCCGUUUAGCACCUAAAUGGGACCGGUGGACCUCAACGACGAAGCCCAAGCCCCUACUCCCACUGCACAUCCCCGGCACCGCCGUAAUCACUCGCCGGAGAUCCUCGUUCACGGCAACCGCCUCGGGCCGCCUAUAAAAAGGGCCCCCGAGCUCACCCUCGUGCACGCAGCAUCACCACUCCUCACCAACGCCACGCCAGGCCACUAGGACGACCUCAAGGAGGUCUCCUCCCCCAACUCCGGCCGCCCCGAUCCGCCUUGGCCUCCACCACGAUUCGCUCCGGUGAGGCCAUCUCCGGCGCCCAAACCCCGUCCGUUACCCUCUCUAGCUACCAGGAGCCUAACCCCCCUCUUCAAUUUGACCUCUGCAGCUCUCUCCGACGAGUCCCUCGACCACCCGAGCCACCGUCCGUCGGAGCAAAGCUCGCCGUCGACGUGGUACUCGCCGGCGACCACCACCACCACCAACCGACUCGGAAUGGCGCCCUAAGCACGGAGGUACCCUCCGAUCCCCCUGCCUCGCCGUGGAUCGCUGCCGGCGACCACCGCGGCUCUCGGGCGCCGACGAGCUUCGUUCCCCCCCCCCUUUUUGAAGUUUAAAGCUGACGAGUGGGACCCCACCGUCAGCCUCUCUGCUCUCUCUAUUGAAACGUUUUCUGGAAGCACCUUCGGGCAAAGUACGUUUUCCCUUGGGGCUGGCGUAGUUUCUGCCGAAGCGUUUCUGUUUUUAUAAGCUAGCCCCUGGAAACUUUCUGUUUCAUUACAGAUGAGUCCCUGGGCAAAAACCCUUAUAACUUUUAAACAGAAAAGUAUUUUUGAUUGAUUCUUUUUCUGUUCUCUUUAAAAUUUUGUCUAGUUUUUUAUCAGAUUUAUUUGAAAAAUAUUUGGUAUACUUUUUGUGCACCCCUUGGUAUUUACGACAGCGCACGUAUUUUCUUUAUACCGUAGAUACCGAAGGAGGUGACGGAGCCGCGAACUUCACCGAGCUAGGCUCCGACUACUCUGAACCAGGCAAGCAUGUUUGAACUUUUGAUAUGAUGAGUGUCUUGGCAUGUUUUGCAUUUAGUUAGUUUCAUAGCAUGUUGAGAAGCAUAUCGAUGAACGUUAUUUUAUGCGAUAAUGAGGUAAGUGAGUUCGAUGAUCCAUAAGUGGAUGGAUGUGAGUAUGAAUGGCCAUGUGUUGGCAUGAGGAUGGGUGAGAUGGCAGUGUUGUAGCAUGCGAGUCUUAUGCCAGACUAUGUGACUUCAGUGUCAAACCGUAUCGGUCCAGUUCCUCUCAUUUCCUUCCCUGUACUACCACAUGUUUUCCGCAAGGAAUAUGGUUUAGUAAGUUGCAAACCGCUUUUCUGGUACACACCAAAAGGAGAGGCCGUGAUGAUGGUUCCAUGGCCCUGGAUUAAAGCCAGUCAUCCGGUCAGGGGGCAUCGGUGUUUCCGGUUGGGACCGAGAGGGGGGCACCCCUUAGAGCGCGCGUAUAUAAAUUUGAUCCCAUGCUAUUCGAGAUUGUGAUCUCCCCAUCUCAAAAGUUUUUCUUGGAUGAUGUCUAGGGUGAUUCCUAGCAUCGAGAGGUAGGAUGGGUGUGUACUGGUUAGCUGUGUUUUCUUCCGAAAUACCGUAAACGGAACUAGUCCUUCGUGACUACAGAAAUCCGUUGGCUGUGGGAAAAUUUUGUACAAACUCUGCAGAGUCAUAUAUUCCUCCAAAUCAUCUAUUCCAUGUCCAAAUUUGUAUUAUCUUAUCCUAAUCAAAAUGUCAGUUUUGAUGGAAGAGACUCUGGUGAUUCGCAUGAGUGUUAAUUCCGGUUAAAUGAUUAUUCCUGUGGAUGGACUAACCCAUUUAUUCUUAUGAAUGAAAUGUUUAUUAUGAGUAUAUUUACUUGUGAAUAAAAGCCCUUUCUGCGAUGUCGCUCAGACGUCCGACUGUGGCAUUGUUGUAUUUUAUUUUCCUUUAAAGCCCUUUCUGCGAUGUCGCUCAGACGUCCGACUAUGGUAUUGUUGUAUUUUACUUUCUGUUAAAGCCCUUUCUGUGAUGUCGCCCCGAUGUCCGACUAUGGCAUUUCUUUUAAAGCCCUUUCUGUGAUGUCGCCCCGACGUCCAACCGUGGCAUUUCUUUUAAAGCCCUUUCUGUGAUGUCGCCCUGACGUCCGACCGUGGCAUUUCUUUUAAAGCCCUUUCUGUGAUGUCGCCCCAACAUCCGACUGUGGUAUUUCUUUUAAAUCCCUUUAUGUGGUGUCGCUAAGACGCCCGACUGUGGCAUCAUUUCCUUAUAUUUAUUUGUUCACCUUUCGAGGCGUCGCUUCAGACACCCGAUCGGUAGUUAUUUAUGUUUUGUUGGGAUUUCAGGCGGACUACCGCCGUUUCCCUUUUACUUACCUUGUUAUGCUAAUUUUUGAAUGUACAUUGGUGAAUUAUUCAUGACGCAUCCAUGCAUGCAUUUGUUAUAUCUUACGUCCGAACUGUCUUGCGAGUACUUUCAAAGUACUCACUGGCUUGUUGAUUUGGCCAGAUGCUGACGAAGGCGAUCUCAUGGAUGAAGAGUUUGAUAGCGAGUCCGACACCUAGAGGAGUCCCAGUCAGUCUCGUGCGACCCUGGAUUUGGUCACUGUUUUAUAUCCGCUUCCGCUACCAAAUAAAUUCAUCGAGCCUCACCUCGACGCUCGAUGAGAUGACAGACUUAGAGUCUUGUAUUUCUCUCCCCGCUGUGUUUUUCCACCACCGCCCUAUCCUCGAGUCAGUAGUAUGCCUCCACACCACUGUGUCAUGUCCGCCAUUAUGUAUAAUUAUUGGCGUGCUUGUAAUAAUUUGGUUGAGCAACCGUAGUUCGACCCUGUAAUAUAUUUUAUGCUACUGGCUUAUUGUAUCAAGAAUUUGUCUACCAGUGAGGAGGAUUUCUCUCAUACUGGGCUCAAAAGAUUGGUUUCUCAAUAAAUAUUUUUAUUGGAAAACCGGUCGUGACAAGCUUGGUACCAGAGCCAGGGUGACUGUAGGAAGCCACUAGGUGCGAUCGCUAAUUGGUUAUUAGCAUGAUAGAGCUAGGUUAUAUUUUUGCAAUUGUAGUCAUUUUCUGUCAGUCAGCAUGAAUUUAUGAUCUGACCAUGCAGAAUUUUUGCCUACUUUUGUAGAUGGCCGACAACAGCUGCGAGUCUCAGACCUUCGCCAACGUGCCCGAUGGGUUCGUCAAGCUUCUUUCCUUCAUCGUUCAGGUCGCGAUGGGGCCAUCUGUGCGCCCAGUCUUCACACUCUGCCAGCACCGAGACAACGACAGUCUGACUAUGCACCAGGCCGCGGUGCAGUUCAAGGGAGGGCGUGGUGAGUUACGCCGCUUCCGGUUCGUGGGAAGAGCCAUGCCUAUGGAGAGGCAUGCUAUGCAGAUGGCAGCCCGCGAGGCGAUAGCUCGUCUCAGGGAUGUCCUUCCCGUGAUGAAGACUCGUCGUUACCGUUAUCUUCCGUGCCAUGUGCCUUACACCUGUCACUAUGCAUACUCCUGCCCCGGAGGAGAACGAGACGAGGCUUUUGAGAUGCUCAUUGAGUAUCUCCGGGCCCUGGAGGCAGCCUUCGACAACCUGGUGGACGACUUCGUAGCUACCCGCAUGGACUCAGUUCAUGGCUGUGCUGCCAACAGGAGGGAGCUCCUACCCAUCGCACCGCCACUGACUUUGGUCUCGUCCUCAGCAUCUUUUACGCCUACUCGUCGCCUGCCUUCUACCGAAGAAUUCAACCAAGUCAUUGCACCCACUUCAGCGCGCACUGCACCACCCUUCGCGCCCACUCCUGUACGUGUUGCUCCGCCCCAGGCAACCGCUCCGUCCACUCUGCGCAACACUACACGUAUGGAGCCCAUUAGCGAGGAGGAAGUCGAGUCCCCAACCUCGCUACGCCUCGCUCUCGGCAGGGCAAAGGAGGUCGUCAACAUCUCUGCCUGAGUACGCUUAGCUGCCAUGUAAUGUACCGCUUUGUAAGAUAUGUACAUAGGUUGUGAGAAGUAGCCUGUUUGCGCAUCAUGUAGGAUCUGGAGAAGUGCACUAGCCUAAAUAACAUGUCAGGAUUAUGUACGCAUAUCCUGAGUGAUGUAUUGUAUAAUUGCCGCCCGCGUGUAAGAUAUGCAAUGAGCAGUCCUUCUCCGUGCGCGAGUCGAUUUGUUCUUCUUAAGUAAGCUGGGUUAUUUAGUUUUAUUUGCCAUCUUUAUGCAUUUAUGGAUUUGUUUUUGCGACUCUUUCCGCUUUUCUUAUGAGUUUUACAAAAAAAUAUUUUCCCCAGAGUGAAAAAUGUCUCGUCCUUGGACUCGCUCCAUGCCAAUUCCACCAGAGGAAAAUUAUGAUGCACCACCCAGCAACGAGUUCACUCAGGGACAGUCAAACCAACAGGGCAGUGAAUCGGCACUUUCACAAAUGUGCCGCCUUUAUGAGCAGAGUCAGCAACAACAUCGGGAAAUGAUGAACCAAGUCAUCAACAUGGGAAAUCAUCAUGGACAGUAUCAGCAGCAUUCCAAGUUAUCUGAGCUACAGAAGACACGUCCUCAAACAUUUUCUCACACUGACAAACCUCUUGAAGCCGAGGACUGGCUUCGAGAUAUGGAGAGAAAAUUAAUUAUUGCAAAAUGUUCAGACCCCGAGAAGGUAUUGUAUGCUCCACACUAUCUCACAGGAGCAGCCGCAUCGUGGUGGGAGAAUUUUCUGCACAUGCAUCCCAACGAAAAUGACAUAACCUGGGAUGAUUUCAAGGAAGGUUUCCGUGGUGCACACAUUCCUAAGAGUAUUAUGAAAAUCAAGAAGAGAGAAUUCGAUGACCUCAAACAAAGGAACAUGACAGUGUCAGAUUACAACAGUCAAUUUACUCUAUUGUCCCGCUACGCCAAUGAAGAGCGUAUGACUGAAAUCAAGAAGAUGGAGAAAUUCCUUGACGGUCUGGCGCCCGCGCUUAAAUGCCAACUGGUCGUGCACACUUUUCCUGAUUUUAAAACACUGGUAGACAAAGCCAUUACUCUGGAAAAUGAGAGACGCAGUCUUGAAGAUAUCCGCAAGCGAAAAAGGGACCAGACUAAUCAUGCUCGCAAUCACCGAAGCAAGACAGAUUUUCAAAAGGGUGGGACACACAAAUUCUCAUCCAAUGUCUCACGCCCAAUCAAGAAUUUUCAUGCAAGGGACAAGGAAUUCACCUAUCUCCCCGGCGUUACUUGUUACGCUUGUGGAGAAGAAGGGCACUAUGCCAAACAGUGCCCCAAGCCAAGGAAUUCAACCCCAAAGCCGAACAACGGCAACAAUUCCGCGCCCAAGCGAAACAAUUUCAAUCCCAACAAUAACCACAGGAAGGGUCAUCUGAACCACGUAACCAAAGAGGAGGCACAAAAUGCUCCGGAUAUCGUACUCGGUACGUUUCCUGUCAACACAAUACCUGCAAUGGUUUUGUUUGAUUCUGGAGCUUCUCACUCUUUCAUUUCGAAAAGUUUUGCUUUGCAAAAUAAUUUUUCGAUGCUUCCCCUGGAGAAAUCCAUGACCAUCAAGUCCCCUGGGAUUCAGCAAGUUACUCAGAAUUACUGUCAGAAUGUGGUCAUUGAGUUCGAAGGAUUGGAGUUUCACGCAAAUCUUAUUGUGUUGGAAAAUAAAGGACUGGAUGUCAUCCUAGGGAUGGAUUGGCUAACCACCAAUAAGGGUUUUAUCGACUGUUUCAACAGGACCGUAAUUCUCACACACCACCAAGGGGAGAUAAUAAGAGUAUCAGCCAAGGAAGGAAAAAUACCCCAGCAAUCGAGAUUAAAUAAGGUGGACGUUUCUGAGCUAAACAAGGUUCCAGUAGUGUGUGAAUUUCCAGAUGUAUUCCCUGAAGAGCUACCAGGCAUGCCACCAGACCGAGAAAUAGAAUUCCGCAUUGAGCUAGCACCAGGAACCACUCCCAUAUACAAGAAACCAUAUAGAAUGGCACCAUCCGAGUUGAUCGAGUUGAAGAAGCAAAUAAAGGAAUUACUGGAAAAGGGAUACAUUUGAGCCAGCUCCUCACCUUGGGGAUCACCAAUUUUAUUUGCCAAAAAGAAGGAUGGAACGCUGAGAUUGUGUAUUGACUAUCAAGCACUUAACAUGGUCACAGUCAAAAACAAAUACCCGAUGCCAAGGAUAAACGAUUUGUUUGAUCAACUCGCUCAGGCCAAGGUAUUCUCAAAAAUUGACUUAAGGUCAGGAUACCAUCAAUUGAAGGUACGAACAGAAGAUAUCCCCAAAACAGCCUUCACCUCCAGAUAUGGACUGUACGAGUUCACAGUGAUGCCAUUUGGAUUAACUAACGCCCCAGCAUAUUUUGUUCACCUCAUGAACACAGUAUUUAUGAAGUUUAUGGACAAGUUCGUCGUGGUAUUCAUCGACGAUAUUCUGGUAUACUCCAAGACACCAGAAGAGCAUGCAGAACAUCUCAGGAUUGUGCUAGGAGAGCUAAGAAAACACCAAUUGUAUGCCAAGUUCAGCAAGUGCGAAUUUUGGCUAAGACAAGUAGGCUUUCUAGGCCACGUGCUGACCCAAGACGGUAUCGCAGUGGACCCAGAGAAAGUCAAGGCCGUACUUGGCUGGAAGUCACCAGCCAGCGUAACGGACAUACGGAGUUUCUUGGGAAUGGCAGGAUAUUACCGCAGAUUUAUUGAAGGAUUUUCCACCAUAGCCAAGCCUAUGACGCAGUUACUCAAGAAAGAUAAGAAGUUUGAAUGGACAGAAACCUGCGAGAAAAGUUUCCAAGAACUAAAACGGAAGUUAACGACAGCACCAGUAUUAAUUGUCCCCGACAUACACAAGAAUUUUGAAGUAUAUUGUGACGCGUCCAGAAAGGGUCUCGGAUGCGUGUUGAUGCAGGAAGGCAAGGUUGUCGCCUACGCUUCAAGGCAACUUCGCAAGCAUGAGGAAAAUUAUCCCACUCAUGACUUAGAAAUGGCAGCAGUUAUUCAUGCACUCAAGGAAUGGAGGCAUUUCUUACUUGGGAAUCAAUGUGAAAUAUAUACGGAUCACAAAAGUCUCAAAUAUAUUUUCACACAGCCAGAACUAAACUUACGACAACGACAUUGGUUGGAGUUAGUAAAGGAUUAUGAUGUUGGUAUCCAUUACCAUCCAGGGAAAGCAAAUGUAGUGGCCGAUGCCCUUAGUCGGAACCCCAGCUCCGACAAAAACUAUCUGCACAGCUUGAGGCCUGAAUUCCAUCAAGAAUUUGCCAAGCUCAACUUGAUAAUGGUAGCAGAAGGCACCAUAUCAAACUUGGAAAUACAACCCAACCUUGUGGAGAAAAUUAAAGAAGCUCAGCCCGGUCACACCAGCAUCGAAGGCAUCAAAAGGAAGUUGAGUAUGGGCAAGGCCUCGGAAUUCGUCAUAGACAAAGAAGGAAUAUUAUGGUACGGAGAAAGGCUCUGCGUGCCAAACAUAGAAGACCUUAAACAACAAAUUUUAGCUGAAGCACACACCACUCCAUAUUCAAUCCACCCUGGAGGAACCAAAAUGUAUAAAGAUAUUCAGGAAAGAUUUUGGUAGCACGGUAUGAAGAGGGACAUAGCCGCCUUCAUUGCAUGUUGCGACUCAUGUCAACGCAUAAAAGCUGAGCAUCAGAGACCAACCGGACUACUGCAACCUAACAAAAUACCUGAGUGGAAAUGGGAUGAAAUAGGGAUGGAUUCUAUUGUCGGACUACCUCGGUCAUGACACGGGAAUGAUGCCAUAUGGGUCAUCACUGACAGGUUGACCAAAGUGGCACACUUUAUUCCAGUGAAGACAACCUACAACACUCAGAGGCUUGCCAGGAUUUAUCUUUCCCGCAUAGUUUGUCUGCACGGUGUCCCGAAGACUAUAAUAUCCGACAGAGGCACUCAGUUCGUCUCAAGAUUUUGGGAGCAUUUACAACAGGCUCUGGGAACCCAACUAGCCUUCAGUACCGCAUACCACCCACAGACUGAUGGACAAACAGAACGCGUAAACCAGGUUUUAGAAGACAUGCUGAGAGCAUGUGUCCUCACAUAUGGAACCAGUUGGGAAGAAAGCCUGCCAUACGCCGAGUUCACGUAUAACAAUAACUACCAGGCCAGCCUACAAAUGGCACCAUUUGAGGCUUUAUACGGACGAAGAUGUCGUACCCCGUUAAAUUGGUCAGAGACCGGGGACAGCCGCAUCUUUGGACCAGACAUGCUCAGAGAAGCCGAGGAAAUGGUCAAGCUAAUCAGAGACCGACUUAAGACCGCUCAAAGUCGACAGAAGAGUUAUUAUGAUCAGAAACAUCGUAGGGUCAGCUUUGAACCCGGUGAGUUCGUAUACCUGAGAGUGUCCCCUAUGAGAGGAUUGCAACGGUUUAAGAUUAAAGGAAAGUUAGCACCAAGAUUCAUUGGACCAUUCUGCAUAGUGGCACGAAGAGGCACUGUAGCCUACCAGCUAGACUUACCCGAAGACUUGUCCGACAUUCACGACGUGUUCCACGUCUCUCAGUUAAGGAAGUGCGUAAGCAACCCAGAGAAACAAGUAUCCCAUGAAAACAUUGACGUGCAGCCAGACCUCACUUAUCGGGAACGUCCCGUAAGAAUAUUAGAGGAGUCUGAAAGGAGGACCCGACAGAAGACCAUCAAGUUUUUCAAAGUCCAGUGGAGCAAUCACACCGACAGUGAAGCAACUUGGGAAAGCGAGGAUUUUCUUCGGACAGAGCAUCCACAUUUAUUUAAGGAUCAGCUGAAAUCUCGGGGACGAGAUUUUUCCUAAGGGGGUAGGAGUUGUGACACUCCAAAAUUUUAAUUUGGUUUUUUAUCAAAAACCUUGUGGUUUUCUUUGAAAAGAGGCCAUUUAAAUUUUUCUUUCAGAAAACCUUCCUCUUAAAAACUUCCUUUGCUUGGCAAGGAUUUUAUUUUUUCAAACUUUGGUGUUUGAUCUUUUGAAACUUCUUCUCUGUUGGUUCUCUCUCAAAUUUAUUUUGGGAGUUUAAUCUUUUUCUUUUAAAAUAAAACUCUAUGAAAAACUUGGGAUUUUCAUAUCUUGAAAACCACCCAUGACUUUGCAUUUUUGCCCAUGUGAUAAAACCCCUCCAAAACCUCCCCUACUCCUUGUGAUCAACCUAAGUUCUCCGUCCCAACUAAUCCAAGCAAGUUUUGGAUUUUAUUCUAAUUAUUUUUCCUCUCAAAUCAAUUCUGAAAAUUAUCUGGAGCCUGAGUGAUUUUCAAAGCAAGUACCCUUUUGCAUUUGAGUUUUAACCUCAAACCAACUCUCCUAGUUAGUCCUUUGUACCCACAACUCAGAACCAUCUUGAUCCACUCCUCCUCUUUUCAAAUUUUUCAAAAUUCAGUCUCUGCAAGUUUGGACCAGAUUUGCCAAAUUUGAUGAAAUUCAUAUCUACACUCCUCCAAAAAUUCCACCAAAAUUCAGGCAGCCUACUUGAGCAAUGAGAAGCCACUCCACCAAAAAUCAGCUCAAGGAAAAAUCACCAGAGGCCAAAUUCAUUCUGUCGAACACCUUGCAUGCACUGCUGCUGUUCAAAAUUCAGAAAAAUUCAGUUUCAGUGUCGUUUUCGUCCGUCAGUUUCUAUCACGCGUAGACAGUGCGCUUGGCUCGAUGCUCGUAGCCCCUCCCUCUUGUCUGGAGCGUCACACGCGUGUGUGGAGCCUUCCUGGCGUCGGUGGCGCGCUGGCCCGCCCUCGCGGUGUCUUUUGCGGCGUCGGGACCUCCCGUGGCGGCCGACAGAAGGCACACCACGGCAGAACGCCGUUCAGCGCUGCCCAAAGCCCCUUGGCUCUCCGCGUGUCCCUGCCGUGCCAGCGCACGCCCGUGGCACCGUCGCCGUGGCCCGGCAAGCACGGAACAUGCUCCCUGCCGCCGACGGGCCGCGCCACCCCCGUUCCGUCGAGCUCGCCCAUAACACCAAAUCCCAGCCCGUUUAGCACCUAAAUGGGACCGGUGGACCUCAACGACGAAGCCCAAGCCCCUAAUCCCACUAAACAUCCCCAGCACCGCCGUAAUCACUCGCCGGAGAUCCCCGUUCACGGCAACCGCCUCGGGCCGCCUAUAAAAAGGGCCCCCGAGCUCACCCUCGUGCACGCAGCAUCACCACUCCUCACCAACGCCACGCCAGGCCACUAGGAGGACCUCAAGGAGGUCUCCUCCCCCAACUCUGGCCGCCCCGAUCCGCCUCGGCCUCCACCAUGAUUCGCUCCGGUGAGGCCAUCUCCGGCGCCCAAACCCCGCCCGUUACCCUCUCUAGCUACCAGGAGCCUAACCCCCCUCUUCAAUUUGACCUCUGCAGCCCUCUCCGACGAGUCCCUCGACCACCCGAGCCGCCGUCCACCGGAGCAAAGCUCGCCGUCGACGUGGUACUCGCCGGCGACCACCACCACCACCAACCGACGCGGAAUGGCGCCCUGAGCACGGAGGUACCCUCCGAUCCCCCUGCCUCGCCGUGGAUCGCCGUCGGCGACCACCGCGGCUCUCGGGCGCCGACGAGCUUCGUCCCCCCCCUUUUUGAAGUUUAAACCUGACGAGUGGGACCCCACCGUCAGCCUCUCUGCUCUCUCUAUUGAAACGUUUUCUGGAAGCGCCUUCGGGCAAAGUACAUUUUCCCUUGGGGCUGGCGUAGUUUCUGCCGAAGCAUUUCUGUUUUUAUAAGCUAGCCCCUGGAAACUUUCUGUUUCAUUACAGACGAGUCCCUGGGCAAAAACCCUUAUAACUUUUAAACAGAAAAGAAUUUUUGAUUGAUUCUUUUUCUGCUCUCUUUAAAAUUUUGUCUAGUUUUUUAUCAGAUUUAUUUGAAAAAUAUUUGGUAUACUUUUUGUGCACCCCUUGGUAUUUACGACAGCGCACGUAUUUUCUUUAUACCGUAGAUACCGAAGGAGGUGACGGAGCCGCGAACUUCACCGAGCUAGGCUCCGACUACUCUGAACCAGGCAAGCAUGUUUGAACUUUUGAUAUGAUGAGUGUCUUGGCAUGUUUUGCAUUUAGUUAGUUUCAUAGCAUGUUGAGAAGCAUAUCGAUGAACGUUAUUUUAUGCGAUAAUGAGGUAAGUGAGUUCGAUGAUCCAUAAGUGGAUGGAUGUGAGUAUGAAUGGCCAUGUGUUGGCAUGAGGAUGGGUGAGAUGGCAGUGUUGUAGCAUGCCAGUCUUAUACCAGACUAUGUGACUUCAGUGUCAAACCGUAUCAGUCCAGUUCCUCUCAUUUCCUUCCCUAUACUACCACAUGUUUUCCACAAGGAAUAUUGUUUAGUAAGUUGCAAACCGCUUUUCUGGUACACACCAAAAGGAGAGGCCGUGAUGAUGGUUCCAUGGCCCUGGAUUAAAGCCAAUCAUCCGGUUAGGGGGCAUGGGUGUUUCCGGUUGGGACCGAGAGGGGGGCACCCCUUAGAGCGCGCGUAUAUAAAUUUGAUCCCAUGCUAUUCGAGAUUGUGAUCUCCCCGUCUCAAAAGUUUUUCUUGGACGAUGUCUAGGGUGAUUCCUAGCAUCGAGAGGUAGGAUGGGUGUGUACUGGUUAGCUGUGUUUUCUUCCGAAAUACCGUAAACGGAACUAGUCCUUCAUGACUACGGAAAUCCGUUGGCUGUGGGAAAAUUUUGUACAAACUCUGCAGAGUCAUAUAUUCCUCCAAAUCAUCUAUUCCAUGUCCAAAUUCGUAUUAUCUUAUCCUAAUCAAAAUGUCAGUUUUGAUGGCAGAGACUCCGGUGAUUCGCAUGAGUGCUAAUUCCGGUUAAAUGAUUAUUCCUAUGGAUGGACUAACCCAUUUAUUCUUAUGAAUGAAAUGUUUAUUAUGAGUAUAUUUACUUGUGAAUAAAAGCCCUUUCUGCGAUGUCGCUCAGAGGUCCGACUGUGGCAUUGUUGUAUUUUAUUUUCCUUUAAAGCCCUUUCUGCGAUGUCGCUCAGACGUCCGACUAUGGUAUUGUUGUAUUUUACUUUCUGUUAAAGCCCUUUCUGUGAUGUCGCCCCGACGUCCGACUGUGGCAUUUCUUUUAAAGCCCUUUCUGUGAUGUCGCCCCGAUGUCCGACCGUGGCAUUUCUUUUAAAGCCCUUUCUGUGAUGUCGCCCUGACGUCUGACCGUGGCAUUUCUUUAAAGCCCUUUCUGUGAUGUCGCCCCGACAUCCGACUGUGGUAUUUCUUUUAAAGCCCUUUAUGUGGUGUCGCUAAGACGCCCGACUGUGGCAUCAUUUCCUUAUAUUUAUUUGUUCACCUUUCGAGGCGUCGCUUCAGACACCCUAUCGGUAGUUAUUUAUGUUUUGUUGGGAUUUCAGGCGGACUACCGCCGUUUCCCUUUUACUUACCUUGUUAUGCUAAUUUUUGAAUGUACAUUGGUGAAUUAUUCAUGACGCAUCCAUGCAUGCAUUUGUUAUAUCUUACGUCCGAACUGUCUUGCGAGUACUUUCAAAGUACUCACUGGCUUGUUGAUUUGGCCAGAUGCUGACGAAGGCGAUCUCAUGGAUGAAGAGUUUGAUAGCGAGUCCGACACCUAGAGGAGUCCCAGUCAGUCUCGUGCGACCCUGGAUUUGGUCACUGUUUUAUAUCCGCUUCCGCUACCAAAUAAAUUCAUCGAGCCUCACCUCGAUGCUCGAUGAGAUGACAGACUUAGAGUCUUGUAUUUCUCUCCCCGCUGUGUUUUUCCACCACCUCCCUAUCCUCGAGUCAGUAGUAUGCCUCCACACCACUGUGUCAUGUCUGCCAUUAUGUAUAAUUAUUGGCGUGCUUGUAAUAAUUUGGUUGAGCAACCGUAGUUCGACCCUGUAAUAUAUUUUAUGCUACUGGCUUAUUGUAUCAAGAAUUUGUCUACCAGUGAGGAGGAUUUCUCUCAUACUGGGCUCAAAAGAUUGGUUUCUCAAUAAAUAUUUUUAUUGGAAAACCGGUCGUGACACCUACCGCGCAGGAAAAGCCCCGCCCUCGACUUUUAAAUACAACUACUCCCUCCAUAUAGGUGAGUAAGUCAUCUUACGAAAACUAAAUAAUCCCAAAAUACUAAGGCGCAGUGCAUUAACUUCUACCUUGUUUCUUGUUUCUUCACAUAUCAACCAAUAAGUAUCCAAUGAUAUACUUUUUGUGACAUAGUAACUCAUAUUUAGUUAGUCAAAUGGAUGACCUAGAACUACGUGAAGGCCCUAUAAACCGAGACGCCUACAAAUAAAAAAAACGAGACGAAGAGGGUAGUUCAGCAUGUAUCUUUUUAGAUCAAUAUAGUCGGGAUUCACCAAGGAGCAAAACCAAGUGGUAGGCUGCUCCUGUCGUGUUGGCGUAGCAACUCAAGCAGGGUCAGUCCGCACACAAAAUGGAGACACACUUAAUAGGACCCCUUUGGCAGACAUGUGGCUCAUCCACCGUCUUGUUCCACGUGCGAUGCACCAAAUUACAGUUCGGAGCAGCGGUUGCAAUUGGAGGCACCCCGGUCGUAGCGCCGCAGUAGUAGAAAAUGAGCGAUGAGGGGUCAAAUCACAAAGCCCCACCUUUCCCGCAUUAAGCUGGACGGACGAAGCAACCAUCAUUUCACUCUAGCGCGCAAGAGCAUAAAGAAAAGAGAAACAAUGAUGCGUGCGGCAGCUACCUAGGGCACCCUAGGGUAGGGAUCUCCACUAUAGAUCCUUUUUUUUGAAAGCGCCUCCACUACAAAUCGGCUUCUCCAUCAUCCUCUUGAAGAAAACCGAUGAUGAGUGCGGCGGUAGGGUUUGUAGGAGUACUACGGUGUGCGGGGCCACGUCGUAGUAAACGGGUUCGAGUCGACGCCUUAAAUAUGUGUGGGCCGCUUGGUUUUACGGGAACGAGGCGGCAUUUUGGGUUCGGGGACCAGUGGAGAUAUAGCACGUACAAAAAAUUGUGGACGUAGGUUCGAUCGAAAGGCAAUGAUGCAUGGGCCCUGCAUUUUGAUAUACCCGGGGCCGCGUGAAAUUUGCUACUCUACUCAAAACUAGUAAGGUACACAUGUAUUGAACGCAUGAGAUAUCAAAACCAAAUUAUGAAUAAAUACACACUAUAGCAUGUAAAGCUUUGAGUCAUAUAUGCAUGAUGUAGAUGUUCGUUUAGUUCUUAUGGUUCAUCUCAUUCAAAAUCAAUUAGUUUUAUGAAAAUGUUAAGAUUCAUGGGGUUGUGCAUUGUAAAUCAUAAAGUAAAAAACAAAUAAUGGCAAUUCAUUUAGAAAAAAAUAAUCAAUUAUGAUACAGAAGAUUCUAGAACAAAGGAGAAGUGCUUGUGUUUUGAGGUUUGUGCAUUAUGCUUAAGUUCAACCAUGGAGUCUUCUAAAUUGUACAUGUGGCAGAUCUGGUGGAAUGUUGAUGAUAUCCAACAGCCAGUAGUGCUCGGAUUGGCCCAUCUCUGCAUUGUCGGGUUAGCUUCAUCCAACGACCAUCUUUCAAAGUUAUUGGCACACUAUAUAGUUCUUGUGCCAUAGUUGCAUGUUUUGGAAAAAAGAUACUAGUGGGUUGUACUAUCUAUUUAGGAAUAGAAGAUGUAUACAUGGAAGUUGUAGGGAAAGAGAUGACAUGGAGGAUCUCAAUUCCUAUGAGUAGGGAUUGGAAAAGAGAUGUCAUUUGGUUCACAUCAUAGGAACUUUUCUAUUGAAUCUAGAGAUGACAUGUAUCUCAAUUCCUAUGAGGAGGGAUUAGUAAAGAGAUGUAAUUUGGUUCAUAUCAUAGGAACUUUUCUAUUGAAUAUACGCUAAUGUUUAUUUUCCUUUGAAAUUAAGGGAGUAUAGGAAUCCAUUCAUAUGAACCAAGUGGCUCUAAAGCUAUAGAAAUGAUAUCUUGUUUAUUUCCUUUGAAAUGUAGAGUAUAUGAAUCUAUUCCUAUGAACCAAUUGGCUCUAAAGGAAAAAAAUCCUAUAAAAAUCAUAUCAUAUAAAGUUCCUAUGAUAUUCCUCGACACUAAAGGAUGGUUGAAAUUGCUGCGGGUGAUACGAUGGUCUUUCUUUGUAGACUCCUCACCCAUCUUUAUAGUUACCUCUUGAAGAUGAAUGAAAUGAUAUAUAUACAGGGUAUUCUACAUGUGCAAUUCGGUAAACGAAAACUCGGUAAAAGUUUGCGAGGUUCUAAUUUUCAAUGAAGUUCUAAUUUUCAAUAAAUCUAUAUGCACUGCAUUUUAGAACGGAGGGAGCAUAUGGUAGUUGCUAACACUCACGUGGAAGAUUUGUGUGUAGGAGGAGUGGUUGUUCUGUUAAAUGACAUGGCAAAAUUGACACUGUCGGAUGCCGAUCUAACGGUUCUUACGGCGUUCGUCAGGAAAAGGCUUGUGGCGAACGUUUGUCGGAUAAUGAUUUACGGAUAAAUGCAUUGCAUUGAUACGUGCCCCCCUCUCUCUCACGCACACGCACCCUCACGAGUCACAACUCUCCCGAUUCCUCUCGCAGACUCGCACGUGGCACCCAUCGUCUAUCUGCAGGUAGACGUCAUGCACAUAUGUGCUCUUCACACCCUACCCUUAGAACUUCUAAAAACAAAAGACGGCGCACACAUUUUAUUUUAGCUCACAAGUCACACAGUUAUAUUAUUACUCUUGCGGCGAACGUUCUUUGGGCAUAGUAUAUAUUGUAUUCUCACGAAGAGAAGCGGUGCAGACACGCACUAGUUCUCUCACACCCACUCGCAGGUACACGUAGGAGCGCAUUUUUUUGAAGCCGGUACAACAAAAUCACUCCACUAUAUAUAAAAGCAGGAGCCUUAGCGCUUGCUUUACUAGGGUUCCUCUCGUUCACUCUCUCAUGCUCUCCAGAUCUAAGCAAGACAUAGGUGGCCACACUCUCUCUCUCUCUCAGCUCACGGCUGGUCACAAAUCCGGCCGGACAACCUCGACCGGGGCAGGGGUGUAGGUGCAUCGUUCACGCUGUCGUUGGCGGGAAGGGAGGAGACCAACGGCUGCCAACGCGUCCCGAUCGGCGGCCGUGCCGUUCUCUCCGAGAGAGUGCCGGCUCGGGAGGGCCUCCGACCUCUUCUUCCUCCCUGCGGUAUUGUGGCCAAGAUGCGGCCUCCCGACGCCAUCUUUUCCACAUGCCGAUGACCCUCAGGUAUAUUUUCCUUCGAAACCUGCCUUCCUCUACUGCCCCACCUCUUCCCCCUUCAUGUGGAUCCUUUUCUACUUCCGUCGGCUGUUCCAAAGCCACCUAGACUUCUACUAGUAUUAGAAGUAAAGCUAGUUCAUACAGUCAACUCAAAGCGUUGGUUCAAACAGGGAAGAAAGUGGGAAAGCUGUAGCAUGAAUCUAGGACUUGGUUCUAAGAGGAAACGGGGGAAAGUAGUAAUAUCUGUCACUGUUUAAAUAACCGUAUUUCGUAUUUGCGCAAACAGGGAUGUCUGUCUCCAUAUCGUUUCGGGAUGUCCGUCUCUGUAGUUUCUAUCCGCGCAAUCAAAAGCACACACCUCAGUUUUAGUACAACUACGCAAAAUGAGAUGGCUAUCCCUCGUUGCCAUCAUCUAACCUCCCGUCUUCAAGGUAUCCCUACAUCGGUAGUAACUAAGGUAGAAUGACCAAUGCAAUCUAAAAGAAGCUGAUUCAUACGUUUUACUUCCUGAUUGCAGUGCAGGGAUGAGCGAAAACAACUGCAUCCUAGUCCGGAAUGCACUUUCUACCAGUUCAUCCAUGGACCGAGGACUAGCUGGCACGGCUGCACGGCGGUUUUUUGGACAGGUGCGCGGACAAGGGGCAUUGUGGUCUGCUUAUUUCUGCAAAUAGCAUUGCUUAAAUUUAGUGGAAUGCACAAUAAUUUCACCUGGUCAGUACACUGCAUGGUUCAGUUCAGCAUUCCAGCUGAGACCACAAUUAUAAUUGGUUAUUCUGGAAUGAGAGAACCUAACCCUGGAUGGUGGCAACAAGAAAAAACCAGAGUGAACUCCAGGAAAUUUAAGCCUGCCGGGAGGCCCUUUGCUCAGAGAAGCCUUGCUUGUUUUUUCCUGAUUUGUAAACCUUCUCACAACUUUGUCUUUUGCUGUGAACUAGUAUAUGUUUGUUAUGUUCUAUGAAUCAUUGAGAUGUAUAAAAUUGCUUAACUUAUGCUUUUCAAGAUUUUUAUGAAGACGAGUUUAAUGUGAGUGUUCCACAUGAGCGCAGACUAGCGUUGAACGUUUGGAAUUUAUUACAUUGUGGCCUCAAUUAACUGCAUGAACCACUGUAACAAGAUACAUAGUUUCUUAUAUGUCAGAUAGCAGAUUGUUGAUUGUUAGCUGGUCGAUAGCCUAGUGUUGAAGCGAGCUGAGCCAAUGUGCCGUGUUUUGCACAACUGCUUACAAGUGGGGUAGCACCAACAAUGUUUACAACUACUUAUGUAUACAUCAGCGCAUGGUUCUCGAAUGAGUGCUCUAUUUCAUCAAAACACACACUACUCGUAUGAUAAACCGUGACAACUUAUGUCUUACCAUGCCAUAUUCAUGAAAAAACUAGUAAGGACGCAUCUGUUUCGGCAACAAUUACGAUGGUUCUCACAUGAUUCACGGGCACACAAAAGUAGCAGCAGUUCCCAUAGACGGAUUCAAACAGAGUACUAGCCCCAGAGGGGUCGAUAACAGGCAAGGUUCGGAUAAUUAGAUACAAUCCAUACUACUAUUAAACACUAGCUGGGGCAACUAUUUCAUGCCUCGAUCUAAUUUGGGCUGGACACAAGACGGACCUUGCCAUGAACAUCAUCGAGGACGUCCCGCAGCAGCUCAAUCCCGUGAACCUUCAUCAAGACAACCUUGUGGCCUUGCCACUGAUAAACUUGUUUGUGGAGGCAUGCCAUGUCAUCUUCCUGCGUAAGCUUGACAAGAACAGUAUGCCUCACAAACGAAGGAGUAGCUUUGAACUUCUUGUGCUUCAGUACACCCUGGACAACACGCCUGACAACAGUGAGGCUAGAAUACACCUCUUCAUUGGUCUAACCGCAAAUGGCUUCCAGGAUCCAACAGCCUAAGAACUCUGUUUUCCCAGUGCGUAUAUUCAGGUCGUCCGCCUCAUAGCUUGUGACAUGCACAACCACACAAUCCUUGUCUGCAUCAGGGCUCUAAUUGAAACAGAAACAAAUUCUGAAUUACUUUUCAGUAUAAGAAACACAAGUUAUUUAAACCACUAUGUAUAGAAUGGCAUCGAAGCUAAUAAAAUUUUGCAUUAUCAAUCACCACAUACUUCCUUUUCUAAAAAAAAAUCACCACAUACUUAGAUGAAAAACCACAAUCGAGAUCGGCAAAGAAGGAAAUCACCUUGGGCAGNNNNNNNNNNNNNNNNNNNNNNNNNNNNNNNNNNNNNNNNNNNNNNNNNNNNNNNNNNNNNNNNNNNNNNNNNNNNNNNNNNNNNNNNNNNNNNNNNNNNNNNNNNNNNNNNNNNNNNNNNNNNNNNNNNNNNNNNNNNNNNNNNNNNNNNNNNNNNNNNNNNNNNNNNNNNNNNNNNNNNNNNNNNNNNNNNNNNNNNNNNNNNNNNNNNNNNNNNNNNNNNNNNNNNNNNNNNNNNNNNNNNNNNNNNNNNNNNNNNNNNNNNNNNNNNNNNNNNNNNNNNNNNNNNNNNNNNNNNNNNNNNNNNNNNNNNNNNNNNNNNNNNNNNNNGGGGGGGGGGCAAAUCCUCGAAGGGGAAAACUGCUCCUGCAGUGCCACGGGGGCUGUAACCUCAAACGGGGCAUUGACCGUCUCAGUAGUGGCCGUGAGUGUAUCUGGGGUCGGCUCGGUAGUUGCCUCCAUCUUCUUGGAGCUCUUUGUCUCGUGGGGAUCAGCCUCCCGCGUCUGCUCCAAUAUCGGCAGAUCUUUGCCUAGUUCUCCUUGGUCCAUCAUGAAACUGACGAAUACUAGGAGAACACUGAAAGGAAAACACAAUCACAAUGACAAUGAAACAAAAAAAGAGUGGGGAUCGGUUAUUGCUUUGCAAAAGUUCUUUUUUUUUCUGAACGAAAAUAUACCAACAUCACGGAUCCGCUUACCUUCCCUUCGUCGGGAGAGAAGAACAGUGGCAGAUGCAAGUGUUGCCUUUCUUGAAGACGGUGAGGGAGAAGGGGAUUCAGCAAAGAGUGAAAUGAUGGUUGCUUUGUCCGUCAAACUUAAACUGCAGGAAGGUGGGGUUUUGUGAUACGACGGCUCGUUACUGCCGCGCUACAACCGGGUGACUCUCCGCCUGCAUACUGCCUUCUAAUUUGGUGGAUGGCAUUUGGGCCCGCGCUGCAUGGCCUGCAUGUCGGUGAACAAAAGUAUAAUGGCAUUCAGUAGAGGGAGACGUUUCAAUGACCUAGGAGGAGCCAGAAGCGGUAGAGUGUCUCCAUUGUACUAGUAGUAAUUGUUUUUCUGGGUAGCUGUAGAGUGUCUCCACUGUACUAGUAGUAAUUGUUUCUCUGGGCCCAAGACAAAACAGCCAAUCCACACUAGUAAAUAGUAAAAUCAAUUCAAAAGGCGCUACCCACACCCAGCACACCACCCCCCCCCCAAAAAAAACCUGGGUGCUCUUCUUCCUCCUCGCUCCCACCCACCUCACGUCAGCUCACUCCACUCGUACCCCCAGCUCACUCCUAUAGAAAACCCCCAGCUCCCGUUCUUCUUUGCUCGCACUACAACUAGGCUCGUCAUUCGUUACUCUGCUCAAAUCCAUGAGCGCGACGCGACACCCUCGAGGAAAAUGGAGUUGGCUGACCCCAGCGCCAAGAAGAUGAGGCUCCCGCCAGCGGCGACGCCUGUUGUAGAUCCCACACCUGGCAGCGCGGGGAAAAGCGGUGACCCCGCCCCCACCGGAUCCCAGGAACCCGUAGAAUCUCGGGUGGACCGCAUCGGCGAUCUCCCGGACGCCGUCCUUGGGGAGAUCAUCUCGCUUCUCCCCACCAAGGAUUGCUGCCGCACCCAAGUGCUGUCAAGUCGGUGGUGCCCUCUAUGGCGCGCCGUGCCCCUUAAUCAUGACUGUAGUCAUCUAUCUCUCUUCAAUGAUUUUGAAAUCCCCAGAGCCAUCAUCUCCUCCCACCAGGGCUCCGUUCAAAGCCUCUACAUCCCGUCAUGCUACCUGAGCAAGCAUACCAUGCCCUGCACGGUGGACGCCUGGCUGAAAUCCCCUGAAUUCACAGAACUACAGCUGCUUGAGUUCUACUAUUCCCCUGGAAAUCACAUACCACAUACUGAACGCCAUGAACUUGUGCCCUCAGCACCGAUGUCCAUUUUGCGGUUUUCCUCCUCUCUCCACACCGCCACCUUUGCGCUGUGCUACCUACCAGACAAUCUGGUACUAAACCUUCGACUCCCAUUUCUCAAGAAACUUUCACUUGUGCGGGUUCGUAUAUCGGAGGCCUCAUUGCACAUCAUCAUCCACUCUAGUUGCCCUGCGCUGGAGUGCUUGGUGCUUGUUUUCACAGUUAGAAUCGGUUUUCUCCAAAUAAAGUCGCCUAACCUUGUAAGAAUUGGAAUUUGUUUUGACGGAAGGUAGCUCAUCAUCCAAGAUGCCCCUUCACUUCAAAGGUUGAUCCUUGAUUCUAGUUAUUUACCGUUGCAAAUAACCGUCCUCUCUGCGCCUAAACUGGAGACCUUGGGUGUAAUACAUGAUCUAUGUGCUCAUUUCAAUAUGGUGUUUGGCUCCACAGUUCUUCAGGUACUUUAUAUUAUCAUCUACACUUGUAACCAUAAGCUGCAUUUUAAAUUUCUGCGCAUAAUUUAUAUAUCAUCUUGGAGUACACAUUUUGUACUAAUAUUAUGUUCUAUGCUCAAUGAAGAGUUUCUCCAUGGAUGGCCUAUCAAUGGUGUUGGAUUAUGUCAAGAUCUUAUAUAUCCAAAUGAAUAGUUUUGAUCUGAACAAGAUUAUUGGCUUGCUGCAAUGCUUUCCAUGUCUGGAGAACUUGUAUAUAAAGGUGAUAAUUUCACGCACAUUGGAAGCCCGCAUAUAGUGUACUAGAAUUAACCGUUCAGCCGUUGCUCUUUCGACACUCUUCUUUUAGACCUUAACUAUUUUCAAUCUUCAUGUCUAUUUAGGCAACAUGACGGGGUAAGAAAGUUAUAACCAAUCUGUGGAUUCAUAAGCAUCGGGAUUUUCUCACUUCUCAUGAGAUUCGAUGGAAGACAAUAACGCUAGAAUGAUAUGUAGCCAACCGUGCAAACACAAGAUUUGUCACAUUCUUCCUGCUGAAUGCGAGGUUACUAUUGUCCAUCAGGCUUAAGUUUAUCAGCAGCAUGGUUUUGACGGAUGGGUUUGUCGAAGAGAAAAAAAAGGAGUUUCAGGUGGGCAAAAGAGCUUCUGAACGUGCCGGGCUUCUAUUUACAACAUGUUGUGGUCAUAAUCCAGUAAAUUUUACGACCCAGGAUGUUCAUUCUAUGGACCUGACCGAUCCAUUUGACUGUGACUGCCAAAAACAGUGCUAAAGUUAGAUGUUGUUGCCCUUUUCAUUCUGUUUUUUUAAACCUGAUGAACAAUCAACCCUCGUGCUUUUGUACAGUUUGUAAGCUGGAGUUAGAUGUUCCUGCCCUUUUCAACUCGGUCGUGACUGUCAUAUUUUCUUUGAAACAAGGCAAAUGGCUUGCCAUUCGUUUAAUUUAGAGUGAAAUGUUGUAACAAAUCACAACCAAGGGAAAUAACAUCACUCACGCCGGCUGCUUGAGCUCACUGUGCAUUACAGAAGCCAUGUGAUUAGCCCCCACCAACACCCACAAACUUAUUUCGAACUAGCACAUGAAAUGGGCUGUAAAUUUUCAUAAGAAAGGCUGCAUGACCGUGAUAGAUUUGUAUUAUGACAUUUGGGACCCACGAGGAAAUAGCCUAUCUUAGGUGGUGUUGACUUACUAGCCAGUCAACAAACGAUUCUGCCUUCCAGUCGUUGGAUUGACAUCCAACAUCUGUCGUGUAUCUUCUAUCUCUUGUCUUCUUCUUCCUCCAGCCGCCCAAACCAAACCACCCCGUCGGCUCCGCCUGCUCCCGCCUCCCAUGGCUGGCUGACCCUCCGCCGCCCUACCAUACGUACCCUCCAACAUUGGCCAGUCCCUCCCUCUAUUCCCCCACAUGUCCUGUUAUUCUCCGGCGAUGUCAGCCCCAUCACGCACCCGUGCCCGAACCAGUCAACCCUCGUACUCCCCUCCGCCUGCGACUGGACCGACGCAUUGAUGUCUACUACACAACCUUCUUCUUGUAGACGUUGUUGGGCCUGCAAGUGCACAUGUUUGUAGGACAGUAGCAAAUUUCCCUCAAGUGGAUAACCUAAGGUUUAUCAAUCCGUAGGAGGCGUAGGAUGAAGAUGGUCUCUCUCAAGCAACCCUGCAACCAAAUAACAAAGAGUCUCUUGUGUCCCCAACACACCCAAUACAAUGGUAAAUUGUAUAGGUGCACUAGUUCAGCGAAGAGAUAGUGAUACAAGUGCAAAAUAGAUAGUAGAUAUAGGUUUUUGUAAUCUCAAAAUAUAAAAACAGCAAGGUAGCAAGUGGUAAAAGUGAGCAUAAACGGUAUUGCAAUGAUAGGAAACAAGGCCUAGGGUUCAUACUUUCACUAGUGUAAGUUCUCUCAACAAUAAUAACAUAGAUAGAACAUAUGACAAGCCCUCAACAUGCGACAAAGAGUCACUCCAAAGACACUAAUAGCGGAGAACAAACAUAGAGAUUAUGGUCGGGUACGAAACCACCACAAAGCUAUUCUUUCGGAUCGAUCUAUAAAAGAGUUCGUACUAGAAUAACACCUUAAGAUACAAAUAAACCAAAACCCUAAUGUCACCUAGAUACUCCAUUGUCACCUCAAGUAUCCGUGGGCAUGAUUAUACGAUAUGCAUCACACAAUCUCAGAUUCAUCCAACCAACAUAAAAGUACUUCAAAGAGUGCCCCAAAGCUACUACCGGAGAGUCAAGAACGUGUGCCAACCCCUAUGCAUAGGUUCCCAAGUGUCACGAAACCGGCAAGUUGAUCACCAAAACAUACAUCAAGUGGAUCAAUAGAAUAACCCAUUGUCACCACGGUUAUCCCACGCAAGACAUACAUCAAGUGUUCAUAAAAGACUCAAUCCGAUAAGAUAACUUCAAAAGGGGAAACUCAAUUCAUCACAAGAGAGUAGAGGGGGAGAAACAUCAUAAGAUCCAACUACAAUAGCAAAGCUCGGGAUACAUCAAGAUCGUGCAAUAGAAGAACACGAGAGAGAACACGAGAGAGAACACGAGAGAGAGAGAUCAAACACAUAGCUACUGGUACAUACCCUCAGCCCCGAGGGUGAACUACUCCCUCCUCGUCAUGGAUAGCGCCGGGAUGAUGAAGAUGGCCACCGGAGAUGGAUCCCCCCUCCGGCAGGGUACCGGAAAGGGGUCCCGAUUGGUUUUUGGUGGUUCUGGAGGCUUGCGGCGGCGGAACUCCCGAUCUAUCUUCUAUUCUGGAAGUUUUAGGGUACGUAGGUAUAUAUGGGUGCAGGGAGAACGUCGGUGGAGCUACGGGGCCCCCACGAGGCAGGGGGGCGCGCCCAGGGGGGAGGGCGCGCCCCCACCCUCGUGAGCACCUCCCGUAUCUUCUGACGUGGGGUCCAAGUCCAUCAGGUGGGUUUCCUUCCAAAAAUAACUUCUCCAGUUGAUUUUGUUCCGUUUUGACUCCGUCUGAUAUUCCUUUUCCUCGAAACACUGAAAUAGGCAUAAAACAACAAAUCUGGGCUGGGCCUCCGGUUAAUAGGUUAGUCCCAAAAAUAAUAUAAAAGUGGAUAAUAAAGCCCAAUAUUGCCUAAAACAGUAGAUAAAUUAGCAUGGAGGAAUCAAAAAUUAUAGAUACGUUGGAGACGUAUCACGCAUCUUCAACGGCUCAUGUUCGUUCCAUCCCAGGCCUCGCUGUCGUCCUCCGCCUUGCAGCCUUGGUUCGCUUGCCGUGCGCAGUGCGCCACCCUCUUGCAUUGUCAACAUCGUCAACAACCGAGAGGAACAAGGAGAUGACGGUACGUGGAGAGGAUGACCGUAGGGACCCACCGGCGUCAUGGUUGUACGCAAGCAAGUGCCUCUAUAGUACAAGCCCAAAAAUAUGGUUCCUCCCAGUCCUAAUGGUUUGACAUCUGGGGCUCACGCCAUUGUCAACGUAGUCAAUAAACGAGAGAAUUACACUACGAGCGGCUGACACCAGGGACCCAGGAAGUCGUGCAGUUUUUUUUGAGGAACAAGCAGUUGUUAUUUAUACUAGUUUUAGCGACGGAUCAGGGUAACAACGAGGCUGUGCGGGGGCUGUGGCCCGUCUAGCCAGGGUUUUAUUUAUGUUUACCACAUCAUGAGCCCAGUUGUGUUUUUUUCUUGCUGAAAAUGGGUAGCCUAGUUCUAUUUUUUAAAGAAAUACCCAAACAAGGCCUACUUGCUUUAUCGGCCCUGCUGGGCUGCAAAUCUUUCAAGACGAUGAGAGUUUCAUUCGUUUUGCCCAGAAAUGGCCUGUACAUUUUUAAAACACAUCAAACCGAGAAUUAGUUUCAUUUUUUUUAUUACAAGAUCUUAAAUUCCAUUGAUUUUUAUGUGUGGACAAUUAUUUGGAUUUUAUAUUUAUAUAAAUUAUUUUUCAAAAUAGUUUGAAUGUGAAUCGAUAUUUCUAUAUUAAAACAGUUGACCGCACUGAAAUAUGCAAAAUUUCGUAUAUUUUUUAACCGUGGCCACAAUAUGGGUUGUAAUGCUAACAAAAAGAAGAUGGGUUCCAAAAAAAUCUUAAGAAUUAGCAAAUGGGUUGUACAUUAUUAGAAAUAAUGGCAAAUGGGUUGUAUGCUGUUUUCCAUAGAUUUGAGGCUGACUUGUGCGCCUACUACAGGUUGACGCGUAUGCUUUCAUAAAAAAAAGGUUGACGCACACGCAACACCCUGUCAACUUAGUCAACACACGAGAGCUGUGACUGUUGGAUAUCCAUCCAACGGCUGUCGUGCUUCUUCAAUCUCUGCUCUUCAUGCUCCAGCCGCUCAAACAAGCACCGGCGGGACUGCCUGCUCCCUCCUCCCGCGGCCGGCUAUGCUACCGCACUCAUGGCCCCACCGUACUCCCAUCGCUGGCCUAGCCAUCCCUCUACUCACCCACAUAUGCUGUUAUUCUCCGGCGACGGCAGAUGAACUAGUAAACCCUCGUACUCCUCCGCGUGGGAAACAACUGCCAAGUAUUCCCUGGCUCCGUGUCAUUCCCUUCCUAGGCCUCGCCGUCCUCCACCGCCCUGGUGCUCUUGGCGCGGCCUGGUCAACGUGGUCAAUGAACGACAUCCAUCGGAAGUGGACUAUACGUGGCGAGGCUGACAGCUGGGUCCAUGGCCGCCCAGAAGGAAAUGCCUCCUUAUUACGCGCAAAAUAAUGAUUCCUCCACCUGACAGCUAGGACCCAGAGGAAGGGCCUCUAUAUUUCGUGAAAAAACGUUCCCCCCAUUGACAGGUCGGACCCACCAGCUAUAUCUUCGCACGCAUGGAAGUGCCUCCUUAUUACGCCCAAAAAAUGAAUACCCCCCUGCUAGCUGGGACCCACCAUAUUGUUGGGCUGACUUGUGGGCCUACUAAGUUGACGGGGACGAAGGGCUUUGUCAACUUAGUCAAUACUCUAGUGACCGUAUGAUGUCCAUCCAACGGCCGUAGUGCUUCUUCAACCUCUGGUCUUCUUGCUCCAGCCGCCCAAAGCAGCGCCAGUCAUGCCGCCUGCUCCUGCCUUCCGUGGCCGGCUGUGCGACCGCCUGCUCCGUGUCGUCCCCUUCCUAGGCCUCGCCGUCGUCCACCGCCGUGGUGCUCUCGGCGCGGCGUGGUCAAUGUGGUCAAUGACCGACAUCCAUCGGAAGAGUACUAUACGUGGAGAGGCUGACAGCUGGGUCCACGGCAGCCGCAAGGAAGUGCCUCCUUAUUACGUGGAAAAUAAUUAUUCCUCCACCUGACAACGGGCACCCACCGGACGAGCCACCAGUAUUUUGUGAAAAAAAUCGUUUGCCCUUGACUGCUGGGACCCACCGGACGGGCCACCGUAUUUCGCGAAAAUAAUGUUCCCCCCGCUGUCAGCUCAGACCCAACGGAAGUGCCUCCUUAUUACGCACAAAAAAAUGAAUACUCCCCCGGCUAGCUGGGACCCACCUUGGUGGGAGGCUAUCUUGUGGGCCUACUAAGUUGACGGGAACGAAGGGGUUUUCUCAACUUAGUCAAUAUGAACGAGUCUAGCUCUAGUGACCGUACGAUGUCCAUCCAACGGCCAUAGUGCUUCUUCAACCUCUGGUCUUCUUGCUCUAGCCGCCCAAAGCAGCACGGGUCGUGCCGCAUGCUCCUGCCUCCUGUGGCCGGCUGUGCUGCCGCGGAGGCCUCAUCGCCCCUACUAUUCCCACCGCUGGCCAGGCCCUGCGGCGACGGCAGCCUCACACCGCAACCGAACCAGUGAACCCUCGUACUCCUCUCCGCGCGGGCUUCCCCUACCGCGUCUUCCCCGGCUCCACGUCGUCCCCUUCCUAGGCCUCGUCAUCGUCCACCACCGUGGUGCUCUCCGCGCGGCGUGGUCAACGUGGUCAAGGAACGACUUCCAUCGGAAGAGUACUGUACGUGGAGAGGCUGACAGCUGGGUCCACGGCCACAGCGCAGUUUUUUUGUGAUUUGCCAAGUAAGUCGCUUUGUCAGGCCUGUUGGGCUAUAAAUUGUUCAAGACGAGGAGAGCUUUCAUUUGGCUGGCCGAGAAAAUGGCCCAUUAGUAAUGAGAAAUGGGUUGUACAUUUUUAAAACACAUCAAACCGGCAAUUAGUUUCAAUUUUUUUCAUUCAGGAUUUUAAAUUACAUUAAUUUUUAUGCGUGGAGAAUUUGUUGGAUUUUAUAUUGAUAUACAUUUAUUUUUAAAAUCAGUUUGAAUGUGAGUCGAAAUUUCGGGAUUAAAAACAGUUUGGACCGCACCGAAAUAUGCAAAAUUUUGUAUAAUUUUUUAACCGUGGCCACAAUAUGGGCUGUAAUGCUAACAAAAAGAAUAUGGGCUCCAAAAAAACCUUAAGAAUUAGUAAAUGGGCUGUAAAUUAUUAGGAAUAAUGGCAGAUGUGCUGUAUGCUGUUUUCCACAGAUUUGAGACUUUCCUAAAAAAAAGUUGACGCACAAGCAGUGACGGUUGGAUGUCCAUCCAACAACCGUCGUGCUUCUUCAAUCUCUUCUCUUCCUGCUCCAGCCGCUCAAACAAGCGCCGAUGGGACUGCCUCCUCCCUCCUCCCCGCGGCCGGCUGUGCUGCCGCGCAGGCCUCACCGUCCCACCGUACUCCCAUCGCUGGCCUAGCCAUCCCUCUACUCACCCACACCUGCUGUUAUUCUCCGACGAUGGCAGACAAACCAGUAAACCCUCAUACAGCCGUACUCCCCUCCACGUGGGAAAUAACUGCCGAGUCUUCCCUGCCUUCGUGUCGUCCCCUUCCUAGGCCUCGCUAUCGUCCACCGCCGUGGUGCUCUCGGUGCGGCGUGGUCAAUGUGGUCAACGACCGACUUCCAUCAGAAGAGUAUUGUGCAUGGAGAGGCUGAUAGCUGGGUCCACGGCCGCAGCAAGGAAGUGCCUCCUUAUUACACGCAAAAUAAUUAUUCCUCCACCUGACAGCAGGGACCCACCGGACGGGCCACCGUAUUUCGUGAAAAAAAGUUCCCCCUUGACUGCUGGGACCCACCAACUACACCUUCGCACGCAAGGAAGUGCGUCCGGGCAAAACAAAACGAUUCGCCCCCUGACUGCUGGGACCCACCAGCUACAUCUUCGCAUGCAAGGAAGUGCGUCCGGGAAAAAAAAAUGAUUCUCCCCCCUGACUGCUGGGACCCACCAGCUACAUCUUCGCAGGUAAGGAAGUGCAUGACAGUCGGGACCCACCUGGUCGAAGCAUACGUAGCAUUGUCAUUCUGGUCGCGAACGUGUACGUACAUAUAUACUGGUGGAUGUAGAGGCACACACGUGUCGUAUGAGAGGCGCGCACGUAGCAUGUACACGUACGUACAACGGCCAGGGUGCAAGAAAGAAAAUACGGCCACGUAUGUGUACAUACGGGCAGGGUCUCGAACGCCUACUCGCGCAUACGUACGGCGAGGGCUCGUUUACAUGUCUGGGUCGGAACGUAAAAACAUGUUCAUGGGGAGGCAACAGAAUGCGUCGUGUUCAUGGGGAGGCAACGGAAUGCGUCAUGUUCAUGGGGAGGCAACGGAAUGCAUCGUGUUCAUCGGGAGGCAAUGAAACGCAUGGGAGCCAACCGGCUGGGUCGGAACAGAAUGCGUGGUCGUGUUCAUCGGGAGGGCUUGGACGGAACAGGCGAUGGAAAUGAGGCCUGGCGUACCGCAGAACGGAGGAAACAGACCUCCUACAUUCGGAACGGGGUCCUGUUGAUCGGGAGGGGUGUGGCGUACCGCAGAACGGAGGAAAUGGACCUCUUACGGUUGAAACGGGGGUCCUGUUGAUCGAGAGGGGUGUGGCGUNNNNNNNNNNNNNNNNNNNNNNNNNNNNNNNNNNNNNNNNNNNNNNNNNNNNNNNNNNNNNNNNNNNNNNNNNNNNNNNNNNNNNNNNNNNNNNNNNNNNNNNNNNNNNNNNNNNNNNNNNNNNNNNNNNNNNNNNNNNNNNNNNNNNNNNNNNNNNNNNNNNNNNNNNNNNNNNNNNNNNNNNNNNNNNNNNNNNNNNNNNNNNNNNNNNNNNNNNNNNNNNNNNNNNNNNNNNNNNNNNNNNNNNNNNNNNNNNNNNNNNNNNNNNNNNNNNNNNNNNNNNNNNNNNNGUCGAAACGGGGGUCCUGUUGAUCGGGAGGGGUGUGGCAUACCGCAAAACGGACAAAACGGACUUAUGUUGGAGCGCUAUGGUCGAAACGGGGGUCCUGUUCAUCGGGAGGGGUGUGGCGUACCGCAAAACGGACGAAACGGACUUGUGUUGGAGCGCUACUGUCGAAAUGGGGGUCCUGUUCAUCGGGAGGGGUGUGGCGUACCUCAAAACGGGACUCCACGGGAUACUGUUCAUCUCCACCGUCGACCUCCUCCAGUCUCCACGGGCGAUCGUUGACCUCCUCCAGCCUCCACGGGCUCCUGUUCAUCCAGCCUCCACCGCGUGUCGUGGUUCUAAGUCUGACAGUAGAAUAGGGGUAGGAUAACGGAGCAUGAUCUAUCGAGAUGCAUAUGGGUGACACAGUGGUUUUAGCGAGUUCGGGCCUCUCACGAUGGAGAUAACGACCCUACGUUUCGUGCUCCGGAGAGGCUUUGUUUUUAUCUGAGUAUAUAUCCGGAGAUUACAAUGUGUGUGUAAGCGAGGAACGGAUCCCCAUGCCUGAGCUAAGUCCUGAGACUAAUGGUGAAAAGAGAGAGAGGUGGAAGAAAAGAGCCCCCCAAGUCUAGUGGUGGGGGGUGGCUUAUAUAGAGUGCGCCACCUCCUCACCUCCUAUGUUACAAAGUGGGGUAUGAAUGCUAUAAUGACAGCCCACUAUUAAGCCUUCACUAUUAGAAAGAUGCCGACUGCUUUGCUGCCUGCUGGUCUUCGUAUAUCCGAGUGAGUCGUACGGUCAAGUGGUGAACUGUCAUCCGAGUGGAUGGUAUAUUGCUUGGUCGAGAGGACAGUGUGCCUAUAUGAAAUUGACCUGGACCCACAUGUUGUGUGGACCCCACGCUUCAUGAUAUUUCGACCCUUCGUGGGCCUACCUGUUAUGUAUAUCCCCAACAUUAGCCCCCGAAUCGAUUGCGAUUUUGCAGAACGAGUUGGUGUAAGACACAGUUUGGUCCGAGUGAUUACAGAAAUACUCGGUACAUGUCGUCGCGCUUUCAGACAACCAAGGUUUGAACAAAAUCUCAAUGGAUUCCGGUACCAUGCUUCCCGACUGAUCGAGGUAUGUGUCUGUGAGGAGCAACUUGGUGACAUUCGUUCAUCUCUCGGGAGAGGUUUAACUCGUGAUCUGAGUAUGGGUGUGUCAUUAAAUCUGUGCGACCAAAUUGACACAUGGACUGUUCUCUUAGAGAGAUGCCAUUCUUAUCCCGGAGGAACAUCAAUACGAGUCGGUUUUAGAUCCACACUUGUGAGUUUCACACUUUGAGUCCUAGAAGAAGGCUCAAAACAGGUCCACGGAGGAGCGUUAAACUCGCCUUAUAGAAUAUUUUUUGGAGUGAUUUGGAGCUGGGCCUGCAUCGAGUGACUGAUUACUCGGAAUUUCUUCACGCCUGGAACGUGUCUUUUUUGUUGUUUGGCUGUCACUCGGGUUGGGCGGACCGUUCCGAGUGGAUACCAUUCCAGUGGGGGCACGCUGAGUGCACCCACUGGGUGUAGUCUCCGAGACUGCUGUCGACUGCGGGCAGUCGGCGGGAGUCUUAGAGCCUGUCUUUUUGUUGUUGUUUGGCCGUCACUAGGGUUGGGCGGACCGUUCCGAGUGGAUACCAUUCCAGUGGGGGCACGCUGAGUGCACCCACUGGGUGUAGUCCCCGAGACUGCUGUCGACUGCGGGCAGUCGGCGGGAGUCUUAGAGCCUGUCUUUUUGUUGUUGUUUGGCCGUCACUCGGGUUGGGCGGACCGUUCCGAGUGGAUACCAUUCCAGUGGGGGCACGCUGAGUGCACCCACUGGGUGUAGUCCCCGAGACUGCUGUCGACUGCGGGUAGUCGGUGGGAGUAUGAGAGAACUAAAACUCUUCUUAUCUGGUACUGAUCGAACUUGUUCUUCUCUGACUCGGAGGUCGAGUAAUACUGGAGAUGGGUUUGCAUCGAGCAAAAUGUUUCUUUCUGAGUCCUCUUCCAGUGGGGGCACGCUGAGUGCACCCACUGGGUGUAGUCCCCGAGCCUCUGUCGGACUAGAUGAGUCUGGCAGAGGGUUUAAGUCUCUCAGUAAACCUCCAUGCAGUUGGCAUGGCAAAUAUCUUUGUCUGGAAUUGAAUCAAUCGGAUGGAUGCGUAACGAGGUGGUUGUACGAACAAUGAGUAAGGUCGCCUGUACGAUUCAGCGAUGGCGCUUCAUUUUUACCCUUUUGCAUGAAAAGGGGUAUUUAUCCAAGUGGACGUGCUUCACUUAUAGAUCUUCGGCGAACCGAGCAUGUAUGGUCAGAAGAAUAUCUUGAUGUGAUCAACAGGUUGACCAAAUGGGCGUAACCCCUGAGGGUGACAUGGCCAACUGCCGCGCGUAGGCCCCGAGUGAUGCUCGAAGGAGGUAAGCUUGCUACAGAGUGUGAUAUGAGGUUUGACCAUAUGAGUAACUUAGCCGUUCCCGUGCUGGGGGUGUAGAGGUAAAGACAUGUCCAACUGAUGGUGACGCGCGGGGCGGCCGAGGGGCGAGGACGUGUAUAACCGAGUGGCGACGUGCGGGGCGGCCGAGUGGUGAAGACAUGCAAAACCGAGUGGCGCCGCGCGGGGCGGGCGAGUGGUGAAGACGUGCAGAACCAAGUGGCGAUGCGCGGGGCGGCCAAGUGGUGAAGACGCACACAACCGAGUGGAGACGCGCGGGGCGGACGAGUGAUGAAGACGUGCGCAACCGAGUGGCGACGCGCNNNNNNNNNNNNNNNNNNNNNNNNNNNNNNNNNNNNNNNNNNNNNNNNNNNNNNNNNNNNNNNNNNNNNNNNNNNNNNNNNNNNNNNNNNNNNNNNNNNNNNNNNNNNNNNNNNNNNNNNNNNNNNNNNNNNNNNNNNNNNNNNNNNNNNNNNNNNNNNNNNNNNNNNNNNNNNNNNNNNNNNNNNNNNNNNNNNNNNNNNNNNNNNNNNNNNNNNNNNNNNNNNNNNNNNNNNNNNNNNNNNNNNNNNNNNNNNNNNNNNNNNNNNNNNNNNNNNNNNNNNNNNNNNNNNNNNNNNNNNNNNNNNNNNNNNNNNNNNNNNNNNNNNNNNNNNNNNNNNNNNNNNNNNNNNNNNNNNNNNNNNNNNNNNNNNNNNNNNNNNNNNNNNNNNNNNNNNNNNNNNNNNNNNNNNNNNNNNNNNNNNNNNNNNNNNNNNNNNNNNNNNNNNNNNNNNNNNNNNNNNNNNNNNNNNNNNNNNNNNNNNNNNNNNNNNNNNNNNNNNNNNNNNNNNNNNNNNNNNNNNNNNNNNNNNNNNNNNNNNNNNNNNNNNNNNNNNNNNNNNNNNNNNNNNNNNNNNNNNNNNNNNNNNNNNNNNNNNNNNNNNNNNNNNNNNNNNNNNNNNNNNNNNNNNNNNNNNNNNNNNNNNNNNNNNNNNNNNNNNNNNNNNNNNNNNNNNNNNNNNNNNNNNNNNNNNNNNNNNNNNNNNNNNNNNNNNNNNNNNNNNNNNNNNNNNNNNNNNNNNNNNNNNNNNNNNNNNNNNNNNNNNNNNNNNNNNNNNNNNNNNNNNNNNNNNNNNNNNNNNNNNNNNNNNNNNNNNNNNNNNNNNNNNNNNNNNNNNNNNNNNNNNNNNNNNNNNNNNNNNNNNNNNNNNNNNNNNNNNNNNNNNNNNNNNNNNNNNNNNNNNNNNNNNNNNNNNNNNNNNNNNNNNNNNNNNNNNNNNNNNNNNNNNNNNNNNNNNNNNNNNNNNNNNNNNNNNNNNNNNNNNNNNNNNNNNNNNNNNNNNNNNNNNNNCGGGGCGGCCGAGUGGUGAAAACGUGCAGAACCAAGUGGCGAUGCGUGGGGCGGCCAAAUGGUGAAGACGCACACAACCGAGUGGAGAUGCGCGGGGCGGACGAGUGAUGAAGACGUGCGCAACCGAGUGGCGAUGCGCGGUGCGGCCGAGUGGUGAAGACGUGCAAAACCGAGUGGCGCCGCGCAGGGCGGCCGAGUGGUGAAAACGCGCAAAACCGAGUGGCAACGCGCGGGGCGGCCGAGUGAAGGACUAAGUGUCCAGCUGAGUGGCAAAAAUGGUCCUUGAAGGAGUUAGCCAGAUGCUUUUGAAGCUGAUGUAGCGACAAGGUCGGUGUAGUGUGGCUGUGGCGCAACAAGACCGGUGCGACAACUGAAUUUGAGUAGGAACGAAGAUGGCACGCAGAGUGUCUGGGUGAUUAUGAAAUUUGUCAAAGUGACGGAUCGAAUGUACUUGUUGAAGUGAAGGGUCUGAUUGGUGAUGAAGUACUCGACCACUUAGGAGAGUGUCAUUCCAAAUGAGAUGCAGCCCCCGAGUGCGGCGUAGCCCCCGAGCAUACUACAGGCUUCGACAACGGACAUGUCGGAAUAUGAGAAAUGUAGUUUUGAAUGGAUGAUUUGUAAUUCAUCGAGUCGGAUUUGGGCAAAGAUGAGGAGAAGCUUCCGAGUGAUGCUCGGAAGAAGCAAACUCGCAAAAGAGUGAAGUGUGAAGUUUAAUUAUGAAAGGGACUUAUCUGUCUCAUGCCCGACGAGGUCUAUAUCAUUGAUACGAUGAAGAGAAUUCCAUAGAGGGGUUGGCCGGACGUGUUUGAAAUCAACAGGGCGACAAAGUCAGUGUUGUGGUGCGCUAGGACCAGUAUGGAGACCGAGUCCGAGCAGCGAUGAAGUUGGCGCGUAGGGCCGUCGAGUGAUCGCGUUAACUUGUGUAAAAAAUGGCACAAGUCAACACAAUAAUUUCUUGAGGAAAUUUGAUGUGUGCUGAAAUGAUUUGUGUGAAUAACACCCAUAGACACCCGCUGGGAGUGCAAGGGGCUUGCUGGUUGACCAGCAAAAGUUUAAAAGAGCGAAGGAUUCGUUCGCACUUGUCGAAGCGAGAGAUCCUACUGAACUUGUUGGAAUACUGGCUAAAAUAAAACGUAAGUGUAGUGUUUUGACUGAGUUGCAGCCCCGGAGGACCGAUGCAAACUCGAAAUGAAGAACGACACAUGGUGUUCGUGAAUGAUAUAUGCGAAAAAAAGGAAGUUGGACUUCGGAGUCACAUAACCAGUACUAAGCAAGUAUGUGAAAAUAAGCAGUCGAGCGUAGAGGUACACUCGGUGGUGUGGCCUCCGAGUGAACCUGAUGUGUGAAUUAUGGAAUACUCGGGAAGACGAAAAUAACAGAAUGUAAAAUGACUUAGCUGUCUGAAGGCGCGCAGGGCGGUCGAGUGGUGAUGAGGUGACCAACCGAUUGGCGACGCGCGGGGCGGCCGAGUGCUGAUGAGGUGAUCAACCNNNNNNNNNNNNNNNNNNNNNNNNNNNNNNNNNNNNNNNNNNNNNNNNNNNNNNNNNNNNNNNNNNNNNNNNNNNNNNNNNNNNNNNNNNNNNNNNNNNNNNNNNNNNNNNNNNNNNNNNNNNNNNNNNNNNNNNNNNNNNNNNNNNNNNNNNNNNNNNNNNNNNNNNNNNNNNNNNNNNNNNNNNNNNNNNNNNNNNNNNNNNNNNNNNNNNNNNNNNNNNNNNNNNNNNNNNNNNNNNNNNNNNNNNNNNNNNNNNNNNNNNNNNNNNNNNNNNNNNNNNNNNNNNNNNNNNNNNNNNNNNNNNNNNNNNNNNNNNNNNNNNNNNNNNNNNNNNNNNNNNNNNNNNNNNNNNNNNNNNNNNNNNNNNNNNNNNNNNNNNNNNNNNNNNNNNNNNNNNNNNNNNNNNNNNNNNNNNNNNNNNNNNNNNNNNNNNNNNNNNNNNNNNNNNNNNNNNNNNNNNNNNNNNNNNNNNNNNNNNNNNNNNNNNNNNNNNNNNNNNNNNNNNNNNNNNNNNNNNNNNNNNNNNNNNNNNNNNNNNNNNNNNNNNNNNNNNNNNNNNNNNNNNNNNNNNNNNNNNNNNNNNNNNNNNNNNNNNNNNNNNNNNNNNNNNNNNNNNNNNNNNNNNNNNNNNNNNNNNNNNNNNNNNNNNNNNNNNNNNNNNNNNNNNNNNNNNNNNNNNNNNNNNNNNNNNNNNNNNNNNNNNNNNNNNNNNNNNNNNNNNNNNNNNNNNNNNNNNNNNNNNNNNNNNNNNNNNNNNNNNNNNNNNNNNNNNNNNNNNNNNNNNNNNNNNNNNNNNNNNNNNNNNNNNNNNNNNNNNNNNNNNNNNNNNNNNNNNNNNNNNNNNNNNNNNNNNNNNNNNNNNNNNNNNNNNNNNNNNNNNNNNNNNNNNNNNNNNNNNNNNNNNNNNNNNNNNNNNNNNNNNNNNNNNNNNAGUGGUGAUGAGGUGACCAACCGGGUGGCGACGCGCGGGGCUGCCGAGUGGUGAUGAGGUGACCAACCGAUCGGCGACGCGCGGGGCGGCCGAGUGGUGAUGAGGUGACCAACCGAUCGACGAGGCCCGGAGCGGUCGAGUGGUGAUGAGGUGACCAACCGAGUGGCGACGCGCGGAGCGUCCGGAUGAUGUAGACGCGCCGCGAAAUGGUGACGUACGGAGCGGCCCACUGACGAGGGUGUGUCCAACCGUACGGCACGCGUGGGGCAGCCGAGUGAGGAGGCGCUGAGUGACGACCCGUGGGACGGCUGAGUCGGAGCAUGUCGAUGAAGUCAAGCCCAACCGAGUGAUAGUGCGUGGGCAGUCGAGUGGAGUUGUCGACGACGUGUUGUGCAGUCGAUUGAGUUGCUUCAUCGUCCAGGAGCCGAAUCUGAUCGAAACAAAGGGGAGGUGGGCCUUUCGCCGCAACUGCCACCGUUGUUGUGAUUGUUCCGCCGAUGACGCUCCUGUGAGAGUUAGCAAUAAAUCCCUAAUAAUUACUAGGUGUAAUUGUUUGGCUAACUGAUGCAUUGAAGGAGUCGUCCACGCCUAACGCAAUGAAGGAGUUGUUCACGCCCAACGAAUUGAUGGACUUGCCCCACGUUCAGAACCGGUUUAUUGCCAGAUCGUGGGAGGUCCACUGCUCGUUUGAAUCCAGCGAUGUGGACCAGGCGACGUUGGUGGAGAUGACCUGCAGUCGAUUGCCGCCGUCCAGUAUUUGUGUGCAUAAUCUGCAUGAAAGAGGUAUUAAUGCUAAUUAGCAAGAAUUAAAUACGAUCCUGCAUGUAAUGGGAGUUUCCUUUUCCCAGGGAUUGUUUCUCCCACUGCAUGCGGGGGCAGCCCAGAGGAGAGCUCCGCUGCGGCGGAAACUGCCAGUCUGGCCGGAAUCGGUCGGCAGCCAAGAGGUGGCGACGAGGUCGAUGAGCGACUGACUGCGGCCCAUCGGAGACGCGGGCCGGUGCUGCCAAGGGCGAGACUGACGCGCGCACUGGUGGUCGUGUUUUACUGCUCAAGGAGCUGGAGUUGUGCGCCGGUCAGAGCCGUGCUUGGACGCUCGCGGAGCCGGGCCGAGUGCAGGCAGCCGUGCCUCACCGUCCGAGGAACCGGGUCGAGCGUUGGUCGCCAGGGUCUGCCGCCCGCAGGCCGGGCGUUAGCAGCUGAGCGUGUGUGGGCGCUGGGUGACGACGUCGCAGUUGAAGUCGGAGAUGACGCCGGGCCGGACCGUGAUGGGGACGUGCAUGGAGGCGCGGUUAGCUUCUUGCUCCAAUGUCGGGAUCGAGCGGGUGCCUCCACGGGGGAGAAUUGUGCCAGAUGACCAGCGUCGGAGGGAGGAGGUGCCGCGCGUGGGGAUGUCGUAGACGAGGCCGAAGACGACGCAGUGGAUGCCUCACCGGAGGGCGUUUGUGCGAGCUCGCCGGCAGUGUCGUAGACGAGGCCGGAGACGACCCAGUGGACGCCUCACCGGAGGGCGUUUGUACGACCCGCGCGAGUGGUCGUUUGUGGUGGUUGCCAUUGAUGAUGAUCCCGUGAAAAGGCAAAAAAGAAGGAACGACUUGUUCUUUUCUCUUCUCCUCUGCUUCAUGACCGAUCAUGCAUGGGUGUGUCUGAUCCUACAGGAGGAAAAGACAAACUUAUUGUUAGACAAUUUAUUGUAAAAAGACUAGAUCAAAUGAAUACUUCCCUGAUCCUUUUGCUUGUACGAAUGGCGCGAUGGCCAGAACUUCAGCGGCCAAUUUCUCUGGCGAUGGUAGUUGAUCCGCUGUCGAAGAUUGAAGAAAAACCAUUUGCACCAUGGCUCGAUAGACGCCAGGCCCCACGGUGGGCGCCAACUGUCGUGGUUCUAAGUCUGACAGUAGAAUAGGGGUAGGAUAACGGAGCAUGAUCUAUCGAGAUGCAUAUGGGUGACACAGUGGUUUUAGCGAGUUCGGGCCUCUCAUGAUGGAGAUUACGACCCUACGUCUCGUGCUCCGGAGAGGCUUUGUUUUUAUCUGAGUAUAUAUCCGGAGAUUACAAUGUGUGUGUAAGCGAGGAACGGAUCCCCAUGCCUGAGCUAAGUCCUGAGACUAAUGGUGAAAAGAGAGAGAGGUGGAAGAAAAGAGCCCCCCAAGUCUAGUGGUGGGGGGUGGCUUAUAUAGAGUGCGCCACCUCCUCACCUCCUAUGUUACAAAGUGGGGUAUGAAUGCUAUAAUGACAGCCCACUAUUAAGCCUUCACUAUUAGAAAGAUGCCGACUGCUUUGCUGCCUGCUGGUCUUCGUAUAUCCGAGUGAGUCGUACGGUCGAGUGGUGAACUGUCAUCCGAGUGGAUGGUAUAUUGCUUGGUCGAGAGGACAGUGUGUCUGUAUGAAAUUGACCUGGACCCACAUGUUGUGUGGACCCCACGCUUCAUGAUAUUUCGACCCUUCGUGGGCCUGCCUGUUAUGUAUAUCCCCAACACCGCGCGCUACUCCACCUGCUACUGUUCAACCACCCCUCCACCUUCUAAUAUUCAUCCAGACCUCCACCGUGUACUGUUCAUCCAGCCCUCCACACCACGGUGUUCUGUUCAACCACCCCUCCACGGCCACCCCUCCACCAUCUAUUGUUCAUCCAGCCCUNNNNNNNNNNNNNNNNNNNNNNNNNNNNNNNNNNNNNNNNNNNNNNNNNNNNNNNNNNNNNNNNNNNNNNNNNNNNNNNNNNNNNNNNNNNNNNNNNNNNNNNNNNNNNNNNNNNNNNNNNNNNNNNNNNNNNNNNNNNNNNNNNNNNNNNNNNNNNNNNNNNNNNNNNNNNNNNNNNNNNNNNNNNNNNNNNNNNNNNNNNNNNNNNNNNNNNNNNNNNNNNNNNNNNNNNNNNNNNNNNNNNNNNNNNNNNNNNNNNNNNNNNNNNNNNNNNNNNNNNNNNNNNNNNNNNNNNNNNNNNNNNNNNNNNNNGUUAGCAGCAGUAGCGAAGGAAUCGCUCCAUCGGGUUCAGUUAACAACCAUCGAUCAAUCGCUCGGGUUAAGUAACGCGUAGCCUGCAGUGCAAUUGCUCGGGUUCAGUUAGAGCCCAACGCCCCGCUCGGGUUCAGUUAGAGCCAACGCCUUGCACACACGCACAUACGUGUACGAGAGAAACACGCAUCGCUCGGCCCCUGACCUCCCACCGUAACCGGCAACUCCCCAAAAUUUUCCUCCCCCUCGCUUCUACCACGGUUUUUUCCGUCAUGGACGGCCCAAAGAAUGCCAUGCAGCUGCGUCUCCGGCCCGCCCAUGACGAAAAGCCCAUUUUCUUUCAUGAUUUUUUGUCAUAGAAGUAGGAGCCCACCACAUCUAUGAUGAUACCGGGUUUUGUCACAAUUAUCGUCAUAGAAGUGUCAUAUGUAUGACAAAUUUUUUUUUCGUUCGGCCCAAAAUGUCACGGAUGUGUCUUUUUUUGUAGUGUUUAAGUCUCAGGGGAUACUGAUAUACAUAAUUAUCAUAUUUUUAUAUUUACCCUUAUAUCUUUCAAAUACUGGUCCAUGGAUCUAGCAAGCCCAUCCUGAGCGGCUCGGAUGUACGCAUCACCUGAGUUGAAGGCAUUAAAAGCCUCAUUGGAAAAACCAGGGUCACGGAGUGCGGCCCGCUGGCGCCGAUGAUUCAUGGCGCUCUCGACUUCAGAAUUUGUGGCGGACAUUUUGUCCGAAUCCUCUGUUUGAGGACAGUCCGGUGUCACUCCCGUGUUGGCCUCCGUCCUCAAGACCGGGUCUAGAAUCAUGCUAGUGGAGGCAUGGUUGGCAGGACCCUCGGACAUAGUUCAGCGGAUGUUCUGUCUGCUAAACACACAACGGAUAGUGUCAUACUUUAAGAUGAUGAACUGUGGAGCAUAUUCAAAACCAUACCUCCUUAAAGACGGCUCCGCUAUAUUUUUGUCCGCCUUUCUUUUUAAAGGCCUACCCGACACGGGCGCCCCUUGUUGGUGAGUCGCCUCGGGUUCGGCAUGGCACGCCGAUCGUCUUUCCUUUAGAGCAUAAGAAUUGCACGGUGGGUAAGAUGGAAGGAAUAAAUCUUUUCUGGAAGAUAAGUCUCUUGUUUACUUACAUGUGAUACAGGGAGGAGGCCGGGAUAGUCAGCAAUGAUGGCCACCUCUGUGCCGUCACAGCUCGCCUGGUGAAACACCCCUUCCACGAGCUCCACGAAUAUAUCUGGAUCCUCUUCAAAUCCGGGGUCGAGGGCCCGGUUGCGGUCCUCUAGCUGUGGAGCCGGGCUAUGGAACUCCCUGAUUAGUUUUCGCCAUUCCUGUUACAUUUAGACAGAGUAAAUAUUUAUGAAAACAAAGGCUUAGGGAAUAAAUAGAGUAGAGUAAUGGAUGGCAACUCAGCCAGCUUGGAGGGUUGUACAUGGAAAAUCCAUCCCGUGGCUUAAUACGGACGAACUCCUCUCUUUCCCCCUUGUACAAAUCAGACAGUAUUUCCACCAGAGCGGUGGUGGGUUCUGGGCCUUAUCAGCCACGGCGGGUGGCAUCGUCGUCUCCAUUAAAGUGCCACAUGGGAUGCCCUCGGUAUUGGAGUGGCUGAACCCUCCGCGUUAUGGAUAUCGCCAUAUCCUCGACUAUUGAUAAUCCGGACUGAGCGAGUAUUCUUAUCUUGCUCAUCAAUUGAAGGACCUCCCUGUUAUCUUCCUCUCUGGGGCUCUGGGGACGCCAGUUAAGGCAUUUUUUCAGUGGGGCGUUUGUAAACUCGGGAGGACCCAUUCGGAUUUGGUCAGGAAGGGAGACGUCCUCAAUAUAAAACCACUCAGAGGGCCACUCUUCGGGUGCCUUCUUCAGUGUGCCGGACAAGUAUCCGGUCCCGGCAAUGCGCCAUAUUUCAGCUUUGCCCACUUGGAAUAUUGAUCCCCCUUGAUUACGGGGGACGAGGCAGAACACCUUCUUCCAUAGCUCGAAAUGGGCUUCGCAGCCCAAGAAUAGCUCGCAAAGAGUGACGUAACCUGCGAUGUGCAGGAUGGAGGCAGGUGUGAAGUUGUGCAGCUGGAGGCCAUAGAACUCCAGAAGACCGCAGAGAAAUAGAUGGAUUGGAAAUCCGACACCCCGCAGCAAGUAGGAAACAAGGCAUACUCACUCCCCCUGGAUGGGUUGGGAAAGUUCUCCGCCUGCUCCCCGCCGUCGAAGGAAGCCAGUCCAGCUCGAAUGUGGACUAAAUAUGCAGGAGGUAGGUACCCUUGGGUCUGCAUCUUCACUAAUCGGCCAUGAGAUAUGAUACACUUCUCCCAAUCGCCCGACUUGGUGUUGCGAGAGUGGGAGGAAGAGCUGCGAGCACCGGCCAUGUUGGAGUGGUUUUUUCGGGAGCGCUCUAAUGAUUCCUCGCUUUGGGGGGGGGGUGCUGUGGAUCGGAUCUGAAGAUCCCCAUCUCUUUAAUAGACAAUUUAUUUACAUGGCUAGGGUGGAAAAUGUAAAAAUGCCCCGCCUUCUCGCAUUUGCUCGACACGUGGAGGCUGAGACCGUUAAUGUGCAGAAGCCGAUGAACGUAACAUUAAAUGGGGAGCCGGACACUGCUUUUUAUGAUAGGUACUUUGAAGGAUUCGGAGAAGGAACCCGCCUUGCAAUGCCAAAGACAAUAUGCACGCUGGACUCAUUGUCAUUGAAGCUUGGUUCGGGGGCUACUGAGGCAGUCCUGGAUUAAGGGGUCCUCGGACAGCCGGACUAUAUGCGUAUGCCAGACUGUUGGACUAAGAAGAUACAAGAUAGAAGACUUUGUCUGGUGUCCGGAUGGGACUCUCCUUUGCGUGGAAGGCAAGCUUGGUAGUUAGGAUAUGAAGAUUCCAUUCUUUGUAACCGACACUGUGUAACCCUAGCCCCCUCCGGUUUUCUAUACAAACUGGAGGGUUUAGUCCGUAGGACAACAACAAUCAUAACCAUAGGCUAGAUUCUAGGGUUUAGCCUCUACGAUCUCGUGGUAGAUCAACUCUUGUAAUACUCAUAUCAUCAAGAUCAAUCAAGUAGGAAGUAGGGUAUUACCUCCAUCAAGAGGGCCCGAACCUGGGUAAACAUUGUGUCCCCCGCCUCCUGUUACCAUUAGCCUUAGACGCACAAUUCGGGACCCCCUACCCGAGAUCUGCGGGUUUUGACACCGACAACCGCGGCGGGCCAUUAAAUCUCUAGUACUAGCCGACUUCGUCGCCGAGUGGAUAGAUGCCGAACUCCCUAAAGAGUCACUCCAAAAAAAUACACUUCCAUGAUGAUACGUGUUUGUCACAGUAGGUUGCAUUUUUUGUCAUGCAUGUACAUCCAUGACGAUUUUAUGACAUAAUCAAGAUAGUCAUACCUGUGCUGUCGUAGAAGUGUUCCAUGACAUUACCAAAAUUAUCAUCACGAAAGUGUCCACUUCCAUGACGAUAAAUCGCGCGUCAUAGAAGUGCUUUCGUCAAGGGUGACCGACACGUGGAAUCCACUGUAACGGAACGCCGUUAAGCUAUCGGGUCCAGUUUUGGAUCCGAUAACCCAUUAACAGCCCCGACCAAUGGAGAUUUUCCACGUGUAAAUUCAUCAUUGGCUGGAGGAAACAUGUGUCGGCUCGCCGUUGGGACAGAUGUCAUCCACUCAUUGGGCCCAAGGCGCCUAUGAUACGUUGACACGUGGCACGGCCCAACAGAGGCCCAUUCCUGUGAAAAGGCCGACCCAUUUGACUUGGUCAAAAGGUGGCGGGCCGGCCGACGAAAAGCCCGUUAACGGCCUGUUCGCAUAUAGCCCAUUUACAGCCCGCUAACCCAGGGUCCGUUAUAACCUCUCCGAAUUAGGCCCAGUAGCAUCAUCUGGGUCGUCCAAUAUGAUUCCAGCCCGUUUUAACUUCUGGCCCAUGUAUGGCCCAUGACUUCUUUCGGCCCAUGUGAGGCCCUUUGUAACUCUUGGCCCAUUAACGGCCCGUGGUGAAACUGGCCCGUAAUGAACAGUGUAUCACUGUAUACCCAUUACCGGGCCAUUAUUCCAUUGGGCCAUUUCCAGCCCAAGUUAUCUUUCGGCCUUCUCAGGGCCCAUUUAUUCUUGGGCUCAUUUCCAGCCUUUAGUUACUUAUGGCCCGUUACUGUCAUUUUCUGCUUGUGGGCCAAAUUCAGCCCGUCGUUACAGUCGUCCCGUUUGUGGACCGUUAAUACGUUGGGCCGUUUUCAUGUAAAAAAACCCGUUGGGCUGUUUUCAUAGAGUUAUCAAAUACAGCCUAUUAACGGCCCGUUAUGGUCCAUUGCCGGCAUUCUGGGAACAGGAGUCCCCAGACUUGCCCGCCUACGGCCUGGGCAUGGCUCAAGUGAUGGCCCAGUACGACCCAUCUUCAUCGGUGCAAGACUCAAGACCCUCGCGGGGGGCCAAGCCUUGCGGGGCGGUCGACACGAGGCUUCUUCAGGAGUGGACUCACUAGGCAGGCUCGCGAGGAGGCGGAGAGAUCAAGGCAAGGGUACCUUGCGAGGUGCUCGGGACGCAAUCCGUGACGAUCGAGACCGGGCGGGCGCGAGGCGAGCACCGGCCCGCGCAGUGUCCUUGUUUCCUCUUUCAUGCAAAGGGGGCAAGCACAGGUGUGGAGUACCGAGGCAUCAGGCAAAGGUUGCCAUUUCAGCGCAAUGAGACCAAGUCCUGCAGGGCCGCAGGAUGGACGUCACCGUGGAGCCCAAGGCGGCGUCAUCACCAGUGCCUUUGGCAGCCAAAGACCAACUUUCGUCAGGGUAACUUGUACUAGAUGUUCCCCUUCAAAAUGGUCGUUGUUGGCGCCCUUCCCGCUCAAUAUUUGGGAAGAGGACCAGGGCCUCUAUAUAUAGGGCUAGCCACCACAGUAGAGGGCAUCUCAUCGAGUGCUCAUUAGAUCGAUAGGUGACCGAACUCACCCAAGCAGUUCACCGCAGCAGCUCAAGAACACCUCUCGCGAGGCUGUUCGUCCUUUGUACUGUUCAUCAUCAGCCCCUGACGCAAUCCACCAUACCACACAUUGGAGUAGGGUAUUACACCACAACGGUGGGCCGAACCAGUAUAAAUCUGGUGUCCCUUGUGUUGUUCAUCGUUUUAGCUUAGAUUCUUGCAAGGCGAUCGGAUGUAGAGUCGUAGGGGAGAGAUCUUUGCGCGUACCCCAGAGUUCGAACCUCAAGGGUCUGCCGGAUCCCGGAAUCCGACGCUAGGUAGGGGAGCUCCGGAAUCUUUCUUCCGCUAUUUCGCAUUCGAUCUCCCCUCGUGUCCAUGGCUGACGCUCGCCGGGCUCGCGCCGAGUGUCGGGUUGCUCUCGCUGCACGCGUCACCCAAAUGGCUCUCAUCGGCGGAUGUCCCCAUCGUUCCCCAUUGCCUGCCUGCAACACCGCCACCGGCCAGGCGGGGAACGAGCAGCAGGCCUCAUCGCUGCACCCUUCGUUGCGGCGGGAAGGCCGCACCGCCACCCCGUCACUGUCUCCAGCUGGUUCGUCGUCCCACGCCCGUCGCGCCCCCACGGACGCGCACGCCGCGCUACUCCUGGCGCAUGAGCUUCUACAUUAUCGUCCCGUCAAUGACCUCUACGAGGAGUGGCUCACUCACAUCACUGAGCUCGUCAGCGCCGCAUGGGGCACCCCUGCGUCGUCCCUCUCGCUGCCCCGCCCUCCGUACUGUGUGGGUGGUGCAGCCCAGGAGGUGCCUCCGCCACCUCCUCCCCAAGAAGGCGCCCUGGCUCCUAGGAGCGCGGCCCCGAGACGGGAUCCACCUCGUUCGGCCCACGCGUGACAAGAAAGGAGCUGCCAAGAAAUCCCUCAUCCCCAAGAAGGUGCUCGCGUGCUCGCGGCACCGGCAUGCCAUGACCGCAUCCCUGCGCCAGCACGUCAAGAGCCCGCGCUGCUCCAGGCAGCGACGUGCAGGAACCCUCAAGAGCAAGCCCCGCAUCAGCAGAGAGCUCCAGUGGCCACCGCAGGCUGCUGCGCCUUCACCACCGAGCUACACAGUGUCGCCUGGCCAGGCAAGUUCAAACCCGACCUGCCUCCUCGCUACGAUGGCACUGCCGACCCCGCGGAGUUCCUACAGCUCUACGAGCUGGGCAUCGAAGCCGCCAACGGGACGAGAAGGUCAUGGCUAACUAGUUUCCCAUGGCACUCAAGGACGGUGCCCGCACCUGACUCCUGAACCUGCCCCUGGCACGAUCUCCUCCUGGGACGAGAUGCGCACUCGCUUCAUCGCCAACUUUCAGGGCACUCGCGACCGUCCGCCGGCCGUGGGUGACCUGUGCCGCAUCAAGCAGCAACCCGGGGAGACCUUGCAGAAGUACAUCCAGCGCUCCAACAACGCCCGCCUUAAGAUUCCCAAGGUGAUCGAGGAGGCCAUCAUCUCGGCCGGAUGGCGUCCGCGACGUCAAGAUGAAGGAGGAGCUGGCAAUCCACAAAGAUCUGUGCACGUCUCUGGAGUUGUUCAACCUGGCGACCAAGUGCUCAAGGGCUGAGGAGGGAUGCCUUUGCCUUCUCGAGCUCCGGGAUGCAGAUCCAGAAGAGAAGAAAGCCAAGGCCAAGGAUGUGAAGCGCAAGGGAGCGGAUGUGCUUGCAAUAGAGCCGUACACGAAGCACGGCAGGGACCAGCCGGAGUCAUCCAAGGGCAGCCGUUACUGUGUGUACCACGACCUCCAUACCCACAACACCUACAAUGCCAAGAGCUCAGGGCCGUACGAGAAGGCCGUGUUGGUCGACGCCCCAAGCGCAAUGAUCGGGGCUACGGCCGAGGCGGAGGAAGAGGUGGAGGACGAUGGGACGAUCGUGGCCUUCGCCAGGGGUGGCGUGACCGUCCUCGCGAGGAUCGUUGGCAGGACCAACCUCACCAGGGAGCUUGGAGGGAUCAGCCUCGUGAGGAUCGUCCGCAAGGCAACGCAGGGCUUCCUCCUCUGCCGCCACCACCAAGAAGGAAUGACGACAAUCAUCAGGACGAGGGAGCUGGGGGCUUCCAGGAGCCACGUGCAAUCGCUUGCAUCUUGGGCGGCGCUCAGGCUCUAGCCUCUCAGCGCAUCUUCAAGCAGUUUGCUCGCAAGGUGAAUGCAGUCCUCCCCAAACCUGAGGCCACGCGCCCCCUCAGGUGGUCCGCGUGUGACAUCACGUUCAUUUUGGCCGAUCAGCUCAAAUGCGCGGCAACAUUCGGUGUUCUCCCGAUGCUCUGUUCCCUAGUCAUCAGCAAUGUGCAAGUUACCAGGACCCUCAUUGACGGCAGACCAGGGCUCAACAUCCUGUCCGUCGAAACGUUCAACAACCUUCAAGUGCCAUAAGAUCAGCUUCAACCUACCAAGCCUUUCUCAGGAGACACUGAUGGUUCCACUGUCCCGAUAGGGCAGGUCCGCCUCCCUGUCACCUUUGGGCAGCGCAAGAACUACCGUACCGAGCUCAUUGACUUCGACGUCGCCCACAUUCGCCUGCCAUACAAUUCCAUCCUCGAGUAUCCCACUCUGGCCAAGUUUAUGGCAAUGACUCACCAUGGCUACAACGUCCUCAAGAUGCCAGGAAGUGGCAGAGUCAUCAUGGUCCCCUGUGAAGAGAAGGAUGUGGUGUGCUCUCUCGAGCGCGCCUUCCAAGCCGCGUCAAUCGAGGACCCAGACAGCAAGAGUGGAGACCUUCCUAAAGGAGCUCCCAAGAAAAAGAUGACAUGACCUAGGUCAAGGCCUCGGGAGGCAGUCACCUCCGGAGGCGCCACAUCCGGGCAUGCACGCAUCCAAGGGGCGCCACCCUCCGUCGCAUAGGGGGACAUGCCCGACGCCCUCCUUGGGCAAGGCUCGGGGGCUCUCUCCUAGGGAGCCACUGACUUUGCCAAGAUCACGAGGUAGGCGCGCGGGAACUACUUGGAGGUGUGCUUCGCGGCACAUUUCCCUCGGGAAGGCGUAAGGCAAGGAGGGCCCCACCCUCGGGAGUUCAUCACCAAGGUUGCUCAGGACUUGCAGGAAUCGAGAGUCAUGCGCGGCAACCGCCACCUGCCCCGCGUAGCUCCCCAUCCAGGCGAGGAUGGCGGGCUGCGCGUCUGCAUCGACUACCUAGGGCUCAAUCGGAUCACAUCACAAGAGCGCUUAUGGCCUUCGCGCAUGGGGCGUUGUAAGGGUCCACCGCACAGCUACGUUCGCAUGCCCUUCGGCCUAGCAAACACGGCUAUUGCCCACCAGCGCUUGAUGAGGAGCAUUCUGGAAGCUCAGGUGGCCAAGCACCGCGCACUCCUGGAGGAAAUGGAGAUGGACCUCGCCGAGCCGCCCAGACCUCCCGAGCCUCCCGAGGCUCGGAGCUCUGAGGACUCACGAGGGUCGGCUUCCUCACCAUGCACCGUCAGUUGCUUCGACACUCGCUCUGCAAUGGUAUCAGGUGACUUAUCUCAAGUUUCGUGUCAGCUGGGAGCGCCCUCAGGGCUGCAUCAUUUCCAGGUCGCGUGGGUCUGUCCCCGCGGCAUGUAUCCAUUUUGCUUCUGUCUUCAGCUUACCUUGUUGGGGGCGCCCCUCGGGCUGCAUCAUCCCCAAGCCGCUUGGGCCUGACCCAGUGGCAUGUGCCUUUUUCUGCAUCUAUCUAAGUUGAUUUGCUUGUCCAUGCUCAACCUGCCUAUGAUUAUCAUCCGUCGCCUGCUAUGAGCCUAUCUUUUCUUAUGCAAACCGCUUGCACGUUAAAAGGGGGGCGCCUGAGCAUCGCGACUCAGGAGCUCUUACUGGCUCUCCAGCCCUCACCCCAUGGCCUUGUCCACGACAUCGCAACCUGGCAUACCAGCGGCGGCUGAGCUUGCUCUAGGGCCGGGACCUGAGGACGUAGAGCAUUUGCAUGUUAACCAUCUUGCAGGAACGUACCACCGACAAAGGACCAGAGCCAGGCGCAACCCGCCUCGAGGUAGGGCCUUGUGAGUCCCGUGCUAGCUCACGGGUGCCCAGAUACACCCCUCAUAGCCCUAUCGUGCCGGCCAUGUGUCAGGGCGUGGCUGUACACGCCCUGGGGGCUCCUCCUGGAGGGGAGCCCCCCUCCCACGUACCAGUGGAAGCACCAUGCUCCGCGCUGGCUGACGACACUUCCGAGGAGCGGCUAUGCCCGUACACAUACAGAAGCACUAUGCUCCGUGCUGGUGAUAAACAACUGAGGGCAGCCCAUGGCUGUAUCAACCUCAGGGAGCCCAGAGCUUAGUGUAUGGCCUCAUUGCAACGCCUCCUCUCGGGAGCGCCACGCGAGGGGGCUGGGCACGGGGGCUACGCCCGGGCCACGCCCGAGCACAUGCCACCCAGCCAGGUCCCUCGGACCUGGUCGUCGCACGCCCCUCCCCGAGCGGAGCCAAGGUGUGGAGACCCAUUUGAGCGUCAAGGGGGACUCCUGAGGAUCGCGACUCAGGAGCCUAACUGGUCACGUAGCCCCUCACUCCUUAGUUCCGAAAGGCUAACGGCGGUCGAGGUAUGCGCGGGGCCGGGCCCUGCCGAUGUAGAAUGACAGAUCCUCUCUUCCACCCCCUCCCUAUUUGCUGUUUGAGCAUCAAGAGGGACUCCUGAGCAUCGCGACUCAGGAGCCUAACUUGCCAUGUAGCCCCUCACUCCUUAAUCCCAUCCUAGUGAUCCGGUCGGGGCUAAUGGCGUCUGAGGUAUGCGCGGGGCCGGGCGCUACCGACGUAGGACACAAGCAAAUAGGAAGGAAAUCGCAAAAUCUAGCAAAUCCAGAAGCAAAUAUUACAGGCCAUAAGUUGUUCUCACAAUACCGAACACAAAUUUUAAUGCCUCCACGAGGCAUGGUGCAUGUUGCAGGAAUCGAAGCAGGAAAGAGGCCGCGAGAAGAUCACCCCUAGGCUGCGCCACCACUCGUGGUGGAGUCGCGCUUGUCAGCUCCAUCCACCGGGGCCGCGGAGCUGACAGCGCCUCACUUGGGCGCGGUGUUGAAGGCUCGGAACUUCGCCAGCAAGGCCUCCGCUUGACCCUUGCUGGCCUCAGCAGCAGCGGCGGAGCGCUUGGCAUCCACGGGCUCCAGCAGGUCGUCAAGGCUGGCGUCGGGGUUGCAGAGGUAGACGUGGUUGAGGAUCCACGUCAGCGCUGCGGAGGAAAGGACACGAGCCUCAACUUCGGCCAUAGGGCGAUGCCGAUCACGACCUCCUCAAGCGCCUCGACGAGGAAGGGAACCAGCUUAGCGGGGCCUUCCUUGGCCCCAACCAGCGGUUUCUCCAAGCCCCCGUCAUAAAGUAUUUUUAGUGUCGUGCGAGCCCUCUCCUCAUAGUGCAUGAAGGCCGCGCAAUCCUCGUCCAAGACCUCCGCCUUGGCGUCCAGCUCAACACUCUCCGUCUUCAGCGCCUGCUCCAGCGUCUUCAGCCGGUCGCGGUCGGCUGAGAGUUCGGCAUCGCGGUCCUUGACAGCAGCUUCCCAAGCCUUCAUAUCCUCCUCCUUCACCUGGCGGUCGCGAAUCUCCUUGGCGAGCUUAUCACACAGCCCUUGCAACUCGCCCUCCAACGUCUUGCAGUGUCCCUUGACAGUUGAAGCAUCUGUCAAUGCCGCAUCGCAAGCGGCCACGGCCUGGGAGGUGGCUUGCUUCCCCUCCUCGGAAGCGAUCAUAGCUUGGCUCAGCGCCGCUCGGACGGAGGCGUCAGAACAAGCCCAGCCAGAGACCAACUCCAGGCGCCAGGCCUCCAGGCGGGGGUUCGCGCUCCGGAGAUCCUCCCGCAGCCGACGCAGCUCAUCGACGGCACGGUCCAAGGCAACGGAAGAGACGGGAGCCAGCGGAGUAGGAGGAGAAGACAGCAGCGUGAUCACAACUUGGGAGGUAGAGCCUCCUGAGCCUCGGCACCUUCGGCGAUAGCAUCAAGCACAGGCACCUCCAAAGUCAGCGGGAUCACGGGGGCAGGCUCCUCGCCGGAGCGUCCCUGCUAGCCUCGCGAGGAUGAUCGGGCAGGGGAUGUGCGGGCCCCGCUGCCUCCUUUCCCCGCGAGGGAAGACGCAGCCAUGGCUGAUGAGCCCGUUCCAGGCGGGGUCGCCAUGUCUCCCUUCAGCCUCUUCGCCGCAGGUAGCAUCCUGCCCAAUGAAAGAUGCCAGGCCUCGACAGUGAAAGACAGGAACAAGGCGGAGUUCGAGUACUUACUGGUUGACUGCCGCGGGAUCCCACGGACUCCGGCCAAGCUUGAAGCCCGAAAGCCUCUUGCGGGGCUCAAUCUCGGGAGGCCCAGCCGCAGAGGAAGGUGUACCUGAAGGGCUAGAGCUGGCUUCGGCCGACGUGAAGGUUGGGGUGGACCCUCGGGAGAUCAACCCAGACCUGUCCUUCCUCGGGACCAAGGGCGGGUCUUCCCCCCUCGCCUGGCGCCGGCCUCAUCGUCAUCAGGCAUGGAGCGGAGGGUGCUAGACUUGCGCCAGGGGGAAGUCUCCCCUGUCCCCUCGAAGGUCGCCUCCGAGUCAUGCUCCUCAUCCUCUUCUUCGUCUUCCACCUCUCCCCCGCCGGAGUCGCCAGAGGACACGCUCACCGUCGCUGUCGCCGCCUGGCCCUCAGGGUCCUCCGCUGGCACCAGACCGACCCCAUCGAAGGUGGGCAUGGUGUCCACCACCCGUUCCCAGUCAUCACGAAGGAACAAGGGGACCGGAGUGUCCUCCGAGCCUGCCACGUCCUCUCCGACCAAGAAGCAGAGGGUAGCGGGCAGAUCUUCGUCGUUCAGGGCGUCCAAGCUCAGGCGGAGGACGACGUCAGCAUCCUCCAUCCUCCACAGCGGGCGCGAGUGCGCCUGAAGAGGGGCCACCCGGUGCGACAGAAACUCCCUCAAGAGCGAGGCCUCGGCCAGCUUCACCACCCUCAGAUUGCCCGGCCUCAGAUCGGCAUUCAUCUUCUCCAGCACCAGCUUCGCCCGCCAGUCGUCAAGCCUCGCGCGGGACCACGCCUUCACGGCCUCGGGCUGCGCUUUGGGCAGCUCCAGCAGGGGAUUGUUGCUCCUGGCGUCCACCAUGACCCACUUUCUCCGGAAGCCGUCGGCCCUCUUCCCGGCCUUCGAUAUGGCGUUGGACUUGGAGUAUGCGACAAAGCUUGCGCAUGCCGAGAUAUUGGCGCCAGUGACCCGGAGGGAGAAUAAGUGGCACAGCAAGGCCACGGAGGGCAUCACCCGAAGUGCGCCUCGCAGUAGUAGGUGAAGAUCAACAGGAGAAGGACGGAGUUGGGGUGGAUAUGCAGAGCAUGCAACUGAUACUGGUGAAGGACGGCAAGGAAGAACUCAGAGAAGGGAGGGACCAGACCAGCAAUGACGGCGCUCAUGAAUAGGGGAUAGAAGGUGCUCCCCUUGUCCUCCGGCUGGGCCCAGCCAAGCCGGAGCAUAGUCUCCCCCAUCACGUUGCUCUGCACCGCCAGCAUCUGGCGCAUGAGGGCCAGAUUCUUCUCCGUUACGUUGGGGGAGACAAGAGCCGGCGAGUACCAGGCCGACGCGACCCCAGCUGCGGUCUUGCAGGGCGCCAUUGCUCGCCGGAGGAGGAAGGCUGCGGCAAAUCUGGAGAAUUGGAAGCAGGAGGGCGAAGAGCAAGAAAGGGGAUUUGAAGCAAGGCGGAUGAGAGUAAUGAAAGUAAGGCUAACCCAAGGCCAGCCUUUUUGUCAGUCGAGCAGUUACCGAGGCAGCGUGGGGAAGCAUAGACACCCAUGUCCAAUCAACUGCCACGCAGCGCCCAAGGCCGCAGGCUGAUGGGGCCCGCGGCGCUCCGCACUUUCCCCUUUGCUUCUCUGCUAAGCCAAGUCCGAGCACGCCUUAGGCCCGGGGCUAUUGUCGGUGUUAUGGGAAUGGGGGUCCCCAAACUUGCCUGCCCGCGGCCUGCGGCAUGGCUCAAGUGAUGGCCCAGUACGACCCAUCUUCAUCGGUGCAAGACUCAAGACCCUCGCGAGGGGCCAAGCCUCACGGGGCGGACGACACGAGGCUUCUUCAGGAGCGGCCUCGCCAGGCAGGCUCGCGAGGAGGCAGAGAGAUCAAGGCAAGGGUACCUCGUGAGGUGCUCGUGACGCAAGCCAUGAUGAUCAAGACCGAGCGGGCGCCAGGCGGGCGCCGUGUCAUGACCGGUUUUCCAAUAAAAAUAUUUAUUGAGAAACCAAUCUUUUGAGCCCAGUAUGAGAGAAAUCCUCCUCACUGGUAGACAAAUUCUUGAUACAAUAAGCCAGUAGCAUAAAAUAUAUUACGGGGUCGAACUACGGUUGCUCAACCAAAUUAUUACAAGCACGCCAAUAAUUAUACAUAAUGGCGGACAUGACACAGUGGUGUGGAGGCAUACUACUGACUCGAGGAUAGGGCGGUGGUGGAAAAACACAGCGGGGAGAGAAAUACAAGACUCUAAGUCUGUCAUCUCAUCGAGCGUCGAGGUGAGGCUCGAUGAAUUUAUUUGGUAGCGGAAGCGGAUAUAAAACAGUGACCAAAUCCAGGGUCGCACGAGACUGACUGGGACUCCUCUAGGUGUCGGACUCGCUAUCAAACUCUUCAUCCAUGAGAUCGCCUUCGUCAGCAUCUGGCCAAAUCAACAAGCCAGUGAGUACUUUGAAAGUACUCGCAAGACAGUUCGGACGUAAGAUAUAACAAAUGCAUGCAUGGAUGCGUCAUGAAUAAUUCACCAAUGUACAUUCAAAAAUUAGCAUAACAAGGUAAGUAAAAGGGAAANNNNNNNNNNNNNNNNNNNNNNNNNNNNNNNNNNNNNNNNNNNNNNNNNNNNNNNNNNNNNNNNNNNNNNNNNNNNNNNNNNNNNNNNNNNNNNNNNNNNNNNNNNNNNNNNNNNNNNNNNNNNNNNNNNNNNNNNNNNNNNNNNNNNNNNNNNNNNNNNNNNNNNNNNNNNNNNNNNNNNNNNNNNNNNNNNNNNNNNNNNNNNNNNNNNNNNNNNNNNNNNNNNNNNNNNNNNNNNNNNNNNNNNNNNNNNNNNNNNNNNNNNNNNNNNNNNNNNNNNNNNNNNNNNNNNNNNNNNNNNNNNNNNNNNNNNNNNNNNNNNNNNNNNNNNNNNNNNNNNNNNNNNNNNNNNNNNNNNNNNNNNNNNNNNNNNNNNNNNNNNNNNNNNNNNNNNNNNNNNNNNNNNNNNNNNNNNNNNNNNNNNNNNNNNNNNNNNNNNNNNNNNNNNNNNNNNNNNNNNNNNNNNNNNNNNNNNNNNNNNNNNNNNNNNNNNNNNNNNNNNNNNNNNNNNNNNNNNNNNNNNNNNNNNNNNNNNNNNNNNNNNNNNNNNNNNNNNNNNNNNNNNGUCGGGGCGACAACACAGAAAGGGCUUUAACAGAAAGUAAAAUACAACAAUACCACAGUCGGACGUCUGAGCAACAUCGCAGAAAGGGCUUUAAAGGAAAAUAGAAUACAACAAUGCCACAGUCGGACGUCUGAGCGACAUCGCAGAAAGGGCUUUUAUUCACAAGUAAAUAUACUCAUAAUAAACAUUUAAUUCAUAAGAAUAAAUGGGUUAGUCCAUCCACAGGAAUAAUCAUUUAACCGGAAUUAGCACUCAUGCGAAUCACCGGAGUCUCUGCCAUCAAAACUGACAUUUUGAUUACGAUAAGAUAAUACGAAUUUGGACAUGGAAUAGAUGAUUUGGAGGAAUAUAUGACUCUGCAGAGUUUGUACAAAAUUUUCCCACAGCCAACGGAUUUCCGUAGUCACGAAGGACUAGUUCCUUUUAUGGUAUUUCGGAAGAAAACACAGCUAACCAGUACACACCCAUCCUACCUCUCGAUGCUAGGAAUCACCCUAGACAUCGUCCAAGAAAAACUUUUGAGACGGGGAGAUCAUAAUCUCGAAUAGCAUGGGAUCAAAUUUAUAUACGCGCGCUCUAAGGGGUGCCCCCCUCUCGGUCCCAACCGGAAACACCCAUGCCCCCUGACCGGAUGACUGGCUUUAAUCCAGGGCCAUGGAACCAUCAUCACGGCCUCUCCUUUUGGUGUGUACCAGAAAAGCGGUUUGCAACUUACUAAACCAUAUUCCUUGCGGAAAACAUGUGGUAGUACAGGGAAGGAAAUGAGAGGAACUGGACCAAUACGGUUUGACACUGAAGUCACAUAGUCUGGCAUAAGACUGGCAUGCUACAACACUGCCAUCUCACCCAUCCUCAUGCCAACACAUGGCCAUUCAUACUCACAUCCAUCCACUUAUGGAUCAUCGAACUCACUUACCUCAUUAUCGCAUAAAAUAACGUUCAUCGAUAUGCUUCUCAACAUGCCAUAAAACUAACUAAAUGCAAAACAUGCCAAGACACUCAUCAUAUCAAAAGUUCAAACAUGCUUGCCUGGUUCAGAGUAGUCGGAGCCUAGCUCGGUGAAGUUCGCGGCUCCGUCACCUCCUUCGGUAUCUAUGGUAUAAAGAAAAUACGUGCGCUGUCGUAAAUACCAAGGGGUGCACAAAAAGUAUACCAAAUAUUUUUCAAAUAAAUCUGAUAAAAACUAGACAAAAUUUUAAAGAGAACAGAAAAAGAAUCAAUCAAAAAUACUUUUCUGUUUAAAAGUUAUAAGGGUUUUUGCCCAGGGACUCAUCUGUAUUGAAACAGAAAGUUUCCAGGGGCUAGCUUAUAAAAACAGAAACGCUUCGGCAGAAACUACGCCAGCCCCAAGGGAAAACGUACUUUGCCCGAAGGCGCUUCCAGAAAACGUUUCAAUAGAGAGAGCAGAGAGGCUGACGGUGGGGUCCCACUCGUCAGGUUUAAACUUCAAAAAGGGGGGGGAACGAAGCUCGUCGGCGCCCAAGAGCCGCGGUGGUCGCCGACGGCGAUCCACGGCGAGGCAGGGGGAUCGGAGGGUACCUCCAUACUCAGGGCGCCAUUCCGCGUCGGUUGGUGGUGGUGGUGGUGCUCGCCGGCGAGUACCACGUCGACGGCGAGCUUUGCUCCGGCGAACGGCGGCUCGGGUGGUCGAGGGACUCGUCGGAGAGGGCUGCAGAGGUCAAAUUGAAGAGGGGGUUAGGCUCCUGGUAGCUAGAGAGGGUAACGGACGGGGUUUGGGCGCCGGAGAUGGCCUCACCGGAGCGAAUCGUGGUGGAGGCCGAGGCGGAUCGGGGCGGCCGGAGAUGGGGGAGGAGACCUCCUUGAGGUCCUCCUAGUGGCCUGGUGUGGCGUUGGUGAGGAGUGGUGAUGCUGCGUGCACGAGGGUGAGCUCGGGGGCCCUUUUUAUAGGCGGCCCGAGGCGGUUGCCAUGAACGGGGAUCUCUAGCGAGUGAUUACGGCGGUGCCGGGGAUGUGCAGUGGGAUUAGGGGCUUGGGCUUCGUCGUUGAGGUCCACCGGUCCCAUUUAGGUGCUAAACGGGCUGGGAUUUGGUGUUAUGGGCGAGCUCGAUGGAACGGGGGUGGCGCGGCCCGUCGGCGGCAGGGAGCACGUUCCGUGCUUGCCGGGCCACGGCGACGGUGCCACGGGCGUGCGCUGGCACGACAGGGACAUGCGGAGAGACAAGGGGCUUUGGGCGGCGCUGAACGGCGUUCUGCCGUGGUGUGCCUUCUGUCGGCCGCCACGGGAGGUCCCGACGCCGCAGAAGACGCCGGCGAGGGCGGGCCAGCGCGCCACCGACGCCAGGAAGGCUCCAUGCACGCGUGUGAAGCUCCGGACAAGAGGGAGGGGCUACGAGCAUCGAGCCAAGCGCACUGUCUACGCGUGAUAGAAACUGACAGACGAAAACGACACUGAAACUGAAUUUUUCUGAAUUUUGAACAGCAGCAGUGCAUGCAAGGUGUUCGACAGAAUGAAUUUGGCCUCUGGUGAUUUUUCCUUGAGCUGAUUUUUGGUGGAGUGGCUUCUCAUUGCUCAAGUAGGCUGCCUGAAUUUUGGUGGAAUUUUUGGAGGAGUGUAGAUAAGAAUUUCAUCAAAUUUGGCAAAUCUGGUCCAAACUUGCAGAGACUGAAUUUUGAAAAAUUUGAAAAGAGGAGGAGUGGAUCAGGAUGGUUCUGAGUUGUGGGUACAAAGGACUAACCAGGAGAGUUGGUUUGAGGUCAAAACUCAAAUGCAAAAGGGUACUUGCUUUGAAAAUCACUCAGGCUCCAAAUAAUUUUCAGAAUUGAUUUGAGAGGAAAAAUAAUUAGAAUAAAAUCCAAAACUUGCUUGGAUUAGUUGGGACAGAGAACUUAGGUUGAUCACAAGGAGUAGGGGAGGUUUUGGAGGGGUUUUAUCACAUGGGCAAAAAUGCAAAGUCAUGGGUGGUUUUCAAGAUAUGAAAAUCCCAAGUUUUUCAUAGAGUUUCAUUUUAAAAGAAAAAGAUUAAACUCCCAAAAUAAAUUUGAGAGAGAACCAACAGAGAAGAAGUUUCAAAAGAUCAAACACCAAAGUUUGAAAAAAUAAAAUCCUUGCCAAGCAAAGGAAGUUUUUAAGAGGAAGGUUUUCUGAAAGAAAAAUUUAAAUGGCCUCUUUUCAAAGAAAACCACAAGGUUUUUGAUAAAAAAACAAAUUAAAAUUUUGGAGUGUCACACGCCGGCCCGCGCAGUGUCCUUGUUUCCUCUUUGGUGCAAAGGGGGCAAGCACAUGCGUGGAGUACCGAGGCAUUAGGCAAAGGUUGCCAUUUCAGCGCAACGAGACCAAGUCCUGCAGGGCGGCAGGAUGGAGGUCACUGUGGAGCCCAAGGCGGCGUCAUCACCAGUGCCUUUGGCAGUCGAGGACCAACUUUAGUCAUGAUAACUUGUACUAGAUGUUCCCCUUCAAAAUGGCCAUUGUUGGCGACCUUCCCGCUCAAUAUUUGGGAAGAGGCCCAGGGCCUCUAUAUAUAGGGCUAGCCACCAUAGUAGAGGGCAUCUCAUCGUGUGCUCAUUAGAUCGAUAGGCGACCGAACUCACGCAAGCUGUUCAUCGCACCAGCUCAAGAACACCUCUCGCGAGGCUGUUUGUCCUUUGUACUAUUCAUCAUCAGCCCCUGAGGCAAUCCACCACACCACACACUGGAGUAGGGUAUUACACCACAAUGGUGGCCCGAACUAGUAUAAAUCUUAUGUCCCUCGUGUUGUUCAUCGUUUUAGCUUAGAUUCUUGCGAGGCGAUCGGACGUAGAGUGGUAGGGGGAAGAUCUUCGCGCGCACCCUAGAGUUCGAACCUCAAGGGUCUGCCGGAACCCGGAAUCCGACAUCCAUGAAUAGUAUGGCCCAUGAUUUGUGAAAUGAUGAUACGCCUCGUAGAAGCCCAUGGAUCCUAUGGCCCGUAUAAGGCCCAUGGAUCGUACGACCGGUAGAGGGCCCAUGGAUCGUACGGCCCGUAGAAGGCCCAUGGACCUACGACCCGUAGAAGGCCCAUGGAUCCUAUGGCCCGUAUAGAAGGCCAAUGGAUCCUAUGGCCCGUAGAAGGCCCAUGGAUCAUACGGCCCAUAGGAGGGCCAUGGUUACAACAGUCCGUGUGUUGCCAUGAUUAUGUUGGCCUAGUUACCAAAAAUAGGCUAUUGUGGCCACUAGAAAAACACAGAAAAAGAACUGGAAUGACUACAAGCAAACAACUAAACAAGACAAUAAGGAAAUAAAUAAGCAAGCAAUUAACGCUAGCCUAUUACCGCUAUUACACAUAUUACAUCCACUAGGCAUCAAAGUUCGCCACCAGUGCAAAUAUAGGGAAUAAAGUAGCAUAUUACAUACACUGGCCGUCAAAAUUGGCCACCAGUGCAAAGAAAUGUGGCAUCAAAACAAGAGCAUAACUGAAACAACUUCAGAAGAGCUCAAGAAACGUCAUCCUAGGUAUCCACCAUGCUGGCAAUAAGCUUAGCAAGCUUAUUAGCUUUGUUCUGUUUGGCGCUAAAAUCCUCCAACACUUGCUAUUGCACCAGAAAGUAUGCAUCUGAAUGCUCCAGGGACUUCCGUAGUCCUUCCGCUUCUUGUCGCAGCACAGCUGAUCGAUGUCUUUCAGCUUGUAGUUGAGACUCAAGAAACCAAACUGAUUCAGACAGUGAGUUUGAAUAGCUUGUGCAAGCAGUAGUGGCUAGUAACUCAAACACUAAACCAAGACAGGACUUUGGGGUUGUCUCACUGUCUUCAAGAUAGUAUUCCUUAGCUGUUUUAUCAGCUUUGUUGGAGACCAACAAGGAUGUGUCACUAUCCUGAACCUUAUCUGCAUUACUUGCUUUACCAUUGCUUAAUAAGGCACUCUUCCCUAAUAUUCUGUCAGCAUUCUAAAAGAAGAAACAAGCAGACACAUAACAAGUUUAGCAUGUACUAGUAUAUGAAACUCAUUUUGGUGAACCAGUUCAUUAGUAAGGUGGACAGGAUUAAAAUACCAAGUCUUCUAUUUCCAAGUACUAGUACGUAAUAAAAGCAUCAAACAAACAUAUAUCUAUGUCCUAUGGUCACUGCAUUGUCUUGCCAAAUCAAAAUAGAGACACUGUUCAAAUCAUAUCAGUUCAAGACAAAGCAGCAGUGAAAGAAUACAAAGCGUGGGAAACUACACGGCACAACAAGAUUUCAGAUGGGUACCAUGGGUCUACAUGCACAACAACACUAUUGGCUCUGUUGUGAUGCUAGUAAUGUGAUAUGAGAAGUAAACUGUAUACACAAUUGAAAUAGAAAUCAACAGAGCUAUUGAUAAGAGCAAACCUGUUAAAGAAACAUGUGUUAACAUACCUGUUGUGCCAUUGAAGUUUCGAUUGGAUCCUUCAAUUUAAAAAUAAGUUUGUAUGAGUAAAUCAGUGAUACAAGAGCAAAGCAGUAUGCACGAUAGCAAUCAUAGUUAAGGCGCGCCUAAGUGAGCGCUUAAGCGCGCCUAGGCUCUAGGCGUUGGCAAAACGCAUUGCGCAUAACUAUGCUUAAUCUGUGCAUAACUGCGCAUUAGCAUGUGCUUUGGUCAGUAAAGCGCAAGGCGGUGGCAAAACGCACAAUUAACGCCUAGCGUUUUUUCGAACUAUGAUAGCAAUGGAAUCUUAAAUUAGAACAAUUGUUCUUCAGGUUUAGGCACUUGUUCUACAUGAACAGAGUACAGUAAGACGCAAGAAUAUAGUACUUAAAAAUAGAAAAUGAGCUCAUAGACCUUACCACAUUCUUGGUUCAGGACCAGUACAGAACAAGGCGUUCCCAGUCAUCAUCUAGUAAAUGUGUCUCAGGAGAAUGUAAGGGAAUUUGAUGAGUUUCUUUGCCGGUGAAGUACAUUUUAUUCAGGUAAUUCUGAUACUGCCACCAAGCAUUCUUGAAGAGAGCAGAGGUAUUAGCACAGGUUACCUCAUCCCGAGGGUCCAAAUUGGUCCUUCUCUACAGAGAAAAAUGGGAAAUUUUGCUGUAGUACAACCAUCAUGGAGGUAGGAUGUAUGGGACAAAGCAAAGUAAUUGCCAUGAAUAACAUUAUAUACACAUAACUCCUGGAAAAACACCUGCAACUGGCAUUUUCCUUCAUCUUCAAUAUAAUAUUUCCAAGAUGGGAAGAUACACACAUACGAUUUAACAACAUCAAAUGUGAUAGAUGCUAAACUACGACUAGCUAGUUGUGCUUCCUCCACAGGAAUAGGCGUACUAACUGUUGGAGUUGGGGUUCGCCAUGGUAGUACUGGCCCUUUGGGCACUGGAGCUGCCUUACUAACUGCUCUUGUUUGGGAGCUCUAUGGUGGAGAUGGUGUUGUCUCAAUAGGAACUGGGUUACUAUCUGCUGGGGUUGGGGUUAGAUUGGGUGAAGUUGGUUCUCUGUCCAUCACAGUAGGGGUACAAUCUGCGAGAGUUUGGGUUAUGUGUGCUAGGGCUGGUUCUUGUGCAUGUACAACCAGGGUGCUAUCUCCACCAAGAGGUCGCACUGUUUUAUUUGAAGACCGUUUUUUAGUCUGCUAGAUACUGGUAUCACCCGAUCCAAUUCAAAUGGCUGAUAAACAGGAAACAUAGUUGAAUGUACAGACAUUGUAUGAGAUAGUGUAGAAAAAAGAGGGCAUGAAAUAGUUGACAUGUAUAUUGUUUAACUAGAACGGAUACCAUGACAUAAUUUCACAUAUAUUAUGUCUAUCUAAACUGGAUAGCAUAGCAUAACAUAAUUCAAAUAUAUGAUGAAUAACUAAACAGGAUCACAUGACAUAAUUCACCUACAUGUUAUCUAAGUAAUCAGGAUUACAUCAUUUAAUUCACAUAUGUGAUUUAUAUGCUAAAUAGAGGGCAUUCGAUAUGAUGUCUGAACUAAGAACAUGGUGUUGAAUAUUGUGUAUAUGAUGUCUAGCUGUCAGGACCCCGACUCAAAGCCACACCGAUCUAGCAUGUAACACCUCAUAUCACUUUGCGGCCUCACGCAUGGUAUUCCCACGGGUGUCAGCUUACCUUGCCCGGGACCAUUUGUGCCUUUUGGCACACGUAUAUGAUAGUGUCGCUAGCAUCCAUAUGACAAGGAGCCCAGGCAGACAUGGCUAGUCGUGAACCCAAAGUGGCACUAACUUACAGGGACAGACAUACAUGACCCUGCAACGAACGUGUCGGUCAUCAACGGGUGAAUCCAGGCUGUAGUAGCUGGGCUAGCAAGACUCCGGUAAACUGGGCUGUAGCAGGCUAAUAGGACUCCGGUAGACACUGUGUGACAUUUCCCCAAAGGGACAAACACAGGAACGAAGAAGGACACAAGCUGGCCAGCCUAAGUGUUCCAGAGCAGUAGCAAGCUACCAGGGCUCAAUGGAAGCACUAGGAGACAUUUCCCGGUAAAAGAGGCUACCAAGGAUAAACAACUAGAUGGUCAGAUCCCACACAUACCAACCAUUUCAAUAACAUACACACAAUAUGCUCGACAUGUGCAAAUACAACAUGGCAUCACAACAUGACUCUACAACUCAAGUAUUUUAUUCAAUAGGCUCCGAGGAGCGAGAUAUUACAAACAUGGGUCUCAUGACCCAACAUUCAGAGCAUACAAGUCAAAGAACAUGCGGAAGCUUAACAUGUCUGAGUACAGACAUCUACAAAUGAAAAAGGCUGAGAAGCCCGACUAACUACUAGAUCCUGCCGAGGGCUCAAGAUCGUAGCUCAGGUAACAAGCUAAACAUCGAAGUUCACGCAGAACUACUAGUGAGACUGAAGUCUCUCUGCAAAUACAUAAAAUAGGCAAACGUGAGUACAGAUGUACCCAACAAGACUUACAUCAGAACUAACUACAUAUGCAUCAUUAUCAACAAAGGGGAUGGUGGGUUUAAUUGCAGCAAGCCAGCUUUGACUCGGUGGUUAUCCUGAACUACAACUGCAAGUAACUCUUUUGAGGUGGCGCACACGAGUCCACAUAUUCACCAUCUCAAUACACCACUAUGGAUCCGCUCCCGUCUCCCUACAAGAACGACAUCCGUAGCACUCACGCUUAUCUUGCGCAUUUUAGAGUAUCCACUUCAAGUUAUUUAUGAACUGUACAGGCAACCCAGAAGUCCUUUACCACGGACACGGCUAUUCAAACAGAUGAUGUUAACCCUGCAGGGGUGUACUUCUUCACACACGCUCUCGCCACUUACCGCCAUGUACACGUCAUGUAUCUCGGCAACCUUCAAGCGGAAGCCUGGCGAGGGUGUCGGCCACGACAUGACUAACCACACAAGUCUCUUGUCCAGGUUUAUCGCCUAUUUGGGUUCCAUCCGCAAGGAGAUCCGGCCGGGGUGUCGCUCACGGCCCAAAACGAUGUGUGCAGGGUUCCCAAGCCCACCAUCCGGGUGCCACUUGGUACACUGGGCCACUGUGCCUAGUUUGUCCCAAGCCCACCUGUACCGGGUGCCACUUGGUAGACUACUAGCACUACCUACAAACACCAGAAACUAGUUGCAACUCCUGGACAGAGAUCAGGCUGAUUAAUAAGUCGAGAGGGGUCGAGUUACCGGAACCCAAUGUGUGGUAGUAGAUGUUCAUGGAUCACAAACACAGAACUCAGUUCCUGAGGACGGUUUCAAUAAGACAACCCACCAUGUACUACUACAUGGCCUCUCACUGCUACCAUUACCAAAUCGUGUUCACACACUUAGCUCUCAACAGUAGGACAUGUUCACAACUUUCCAAUUCAUCCCCGAUGAAUCAGACCUGACACAACUCUAAGCAAUAGCAGGCAUGACAAACAAGCAUGAAUGAGUAGGCAUAUCAGGGCUCAAACAACUCCUACUCAUGCUAGUGGGUUUCAUCUAUUUACUGUGGCAAUGACAGGUCAUGCGGAGGAAAGGUGUUCAACCACCGCAGCAUGUAACAGUUGAAUCGUUGUUGUCCUAAUGCAGUAAAAGAGAGCAGGAGCGAGAGAGUGGGAUUGUAUCGGAAUGAACAAGGGGGUUUUGCUUGCUUGGCACUUCUGAAGAUAGUAUAGCUCUUCAUCGGUGUCAUAGAACUCAUCGUCGGUACGUCGUCUACUGAGAGGGGACAAACACCGGCAACAGAGAAGGAACACAAUCAAUGCAAUGCAACAAUAUGAUUCAUGAGUGUGACAUGGAAAUAUGUUGUGGUUUGAGCUAAUGCAACUAGCAACAAGAUUAAAUGAAGUUGGUUUGAAUCCAAGAUUCAAAUUCAAACUCCAUAUGUGGAUAUUUAAAUGCCAUUUAUAUGAUUUGUGCUAAACAGCAGCUAUAAGUUGUUCUAACAUGCAUGAAAAUGGUACAGAUGGAUAGAUUGGAUUUUUUGAUAAUUUUUAAUAUAUAAAUUAUUUCAUUUGGAGUUACAGAUUAAUUUAUAUGAUUUUUAGAAGUUUUAGCUAAUUUUUGGAAUUUUCUGAAUUAUAACUAAUCUAGAAAAUGACUUAUUGCGUCAGCAUAAUGUCAGCAUGACGUAAGCGAGUCAACGGGGCACGGGCCAGGUCAGACUGACCAGUGGGGUCCACUAGUCAGUGACCCAGUGCUGGCUAGUGUCGCUGACAGGUGGGGUCGGGUCAACAGCCACGUCAGCAAGUCAGCACUGACGUAUGGGGCCGGUCAACAGGUGACGUGGCCAUAGUCAAACCGACACGUGGGUCUUCUGUGGUUAGAUUAAUUUAACCAGGGGUUAUAUCUAUGGUUAAAUAAAAGGUGGGGUCGGGCUGUCAGUGAAACAUGCGCUAAAUAACUGCCUCAUUAGUGGCUAAUGAUGAUGCCACGUCAUCAUCGCCGGAGUCAGGCCGGUGAGGACCAAAUCGAUGGUGGAUGACCACCAUGCGCUCGAUACGGAGCACCAAAUCGCAUGCGAUUUGCGGCAUUGGGUUGCUGGUCUUGUGUUCCAUGGAAUCUUAGUGUAGAUGGACCAAGAGGUCGCCGGAAUAGCCGACGGCGACGAGGUUUGGUGGCUGCCGGAGUUUGGGAAACGACGGGAGCGGCGCUACAAGGCACGGCAGGACGAGAGGCUGGGUGUUCCGGGCUUCUAGAAGUGUUCUAAGCAUGAUGACGCAAACGGACACGGGCCUCAGCAGCUAAAACGAGGACGACAACAUGGCCAGCAGCGAGGAGCUAUCGGCUCCGGUGAGAAUGAGGGCUACAUGGCGCAAACGAGGCGGGGAAGAGAGGGGUUUGGAGCAGAAGCUCAUAGCGGUCACGUAGAAAAGCUCAGUGGGCUCGGGGAAGGUCGGACGACGUUGGGGCAUUGCCGGCGAUCUCGGAGGCCGGAGUUGAAGACGACGGUGGUGGCGGCGUUCCCAGGCACCCGGCGUUGUGUGACUCAUUGGAGAGGAUGAGUACGUCGUCGUAGAGCUCAGGGCCAUGUCUAGGGGCGUAGGGGAGGCCGGUGGCUAUGCGAGCGGUGGACGGCGGCGACGGGGCCGUUCAGGUGCGUGUGAGUGAGAGAGCAGAGGAGGGGAGGAGCAUGACGGAGAUGCCGAGGGGGUUCCAGGGGUUGCGUGGCUUCAUCCAGAGAGGCCCAGGGCUAAGCGGCAAGCAGGAGGUGGCGAGGCGCGUGCUCGCGCGCGUCGGCCACGCGCGCUAUCCUCCUAGCGCGGUGGAGAAGACGACUGGCAUGCGCCACUGGGCUGGGCCGGCGCAGUGCCAGGCCAGGUAGGUGGCCCAGGUGACUCCUUCCCUCUCUCUCUUUUCUAUUUCUUUCUGUUUCCUAUUUAUUCCGUUUUGUUUCGAUUUGGCAAAAAUACUAAACCAUUUUUAAAACUCCUGAAAAUAUUUGUGGGCACUGUUGAAAUUAUUCCCAACAGCCCGCAACCAGUUUCAGAAUUAUGAGAGCAUUUAAAAUAUUUAUAGGAUUUAAAUGCCCCAAUUCAAAUACAAUAUGAGUUAAUUCAAAAAUCCAGAAUGUCCUAGAAAUAUGUGCACCAUUUUUGGAAGAGGUUUUUAGCCAAUUCAAAAAUGAUGAACUUUUCUGCAGGCAUUUUGGGUUCAUUGAAAAUAUUUUUAUUUGAACCUAGUUGAAUUCAUUUGGUGCUAGGGUUUGAACAUCCCCAAUUCAAAUUAAAUAGAAUUUAAACAUGAUGCAACAACCAACUAGUCCAAGUGCAUAGCAAGGCUAGGGACGUGACAACUCACCCCCACUAAACAAGAAUCUCGUCCCAAGAUUCAAGCGUAGGGUAAGAGGACAAACGGGACAAAAACUAACACAAUUUUCAUGAUCCAAUUGCUCUUCUCGAAGAUGUUGAUUCAUUGCAUCAUCUUGAUCUUGACAUCUUGCUUUGAGAACUCCAUUCAACAUGACCACGAGAAGAAAUGAAAACUCUAGAAGAAUUGAUCUUCUCGAGGAUCGAGCAAGUGACGAUCAACUCAUAGAAUGAGGCAUAGAACACCUCUUGAGCCGAGAUGUUCAAACACACUUCGGGAGGGAUGGAAGAACAGAUGAUGGGGGUUCAAUUUGGUAGGCAACAAUUCCACUCUUGAGGAGAUGGUGAAUGGUUUCAAGAUAGCGAUGAAAUAAUUUCCAUGAUUCCAUAACGCGGCACCUUAGACAAGGUUACUCGUAGAAUUAUUCCCUUAAGUGGAAAAAAGAAUUACUUUUGAUACCUAGAUCAUUGAAACUCUUUAUACCAGCCUAAGGCAAAUCACAAUUGAUCGUUUGAAGGAAUUCAAAAGAAUGGCAUACUCAAUUUGGAAAGGAAACUAGAGUUAUAAGACAACUCGGCAAACGGAAGACACAUUCCAAUUGAUACCGGGGAUAUAACAUAGUGCCUGAGCGUGCUCUCAAGAACUUGAGCAUUUCCAUAUUCACCAUGGUCUUACCAACAUCCGCGUCGAGGAUCCUGGCAACACAUCAUACUACCAUGAUGAAUAGUGAUGGACGAUGCAGAUGCAAAGGAAGACAACACCUUCUCAGAUUUUACCUUAGCAAUGCCAAGGCCACAAAAUCUUGAUAAUUGACCAAGAGUCAUUUAGCACUACGCUUCCAAUGUUCUCCUCGAUGUGCUAGCGUAUCCCAUUUAUAGAUAUGAUUUAAUAUCUAGAACAUCAAGUAAAAGGUCGGACUUCGGGAACACAAAAAUCCAUAAGGAACAACUACUGGAGUAAAUCCUACAAAAUCCUUAUGGGGAGGUGGCCAACUUCUUCUAUCGAGAUACUACAAUCAUAGGUCUUCUGGCUGGGUGUGUUGGCCAAUACAUCCACUUUACUAGGUUACAGAUAGACCAAUAUUACAAUUCUUGGGACAUGUUCCAACCAUCAUACCUGCCUGAGAUUAAGAUCUGGUUGGUGUCAGGAUAUUCCAGACUCAUCAAGUCUAGAAAGAAAAAUGAAAGUUUGCAACACAAAUUGAUGAGAUGGUGUUGCGAGAUUCUUGGGAAAUGGACUACGGUAGUAAGCUCCAGAACAUGAGCUGGUUCUGCUACAACAUGUGCACACGUUGUCCGAGACAAGCAUGACCACAUAGUAGUCUUAUAAUAAAACACUACUGAGGGAGUCCUGGACUAGGGGGUGUCCGGAUAGCCGAACUAUCAUCAUCGGCCGGACUCCAAGACUAUGAAGAUACAAGAUUGAAGACUUUGUCCCAUGUCCAAAUGGGACUUUCCUUGGCGUGGAAGGCAAGCUUGGCGAUAUGGAUAUGUAGAUCUCCUACCAUUGUAACCAACUCUGUGUAACCCUAGCCAUCUCUGGUGUCUAUAUAAACCAGAUGGUUUUAGUCCGUAGGACAAUAACAACAAUCAUACCAUAGGCUAGCUUCUAGGGUUUAGCCUCCUUGAUCUCGUGGUAGAUCUACUCUUGUAACAUCCACAUCAUCAAUAUCAAUCAAGCAGGAUGUAGGGUUUUACCUCCAUCAAGAGGGCCCGAACCUGGGUAAAACAUCGUGUCCCUUGUCUCUUGUUACCAUCCGCCUAGACGCACAGUUCGGGACCCCCUACCCGAGAUCCGCCGGUUUUGACACCGACGUUGGUGCUUUCAUUGAGAGUUCCUCUGUGUCGUCACCGAUAGGCUCGAUGGCUCCUUCGAUCAUCAACAACGACGCGGUCCAGGGUGAGACUUUCUCCCCGGAUAGAUCUUCGUAUUCGGCGGCUUUGCACUGCGGGCCAAUUCGGUUGGCCAUCUGGAGCAGAUCGAAAGCUACGCCCUGGCCGUCAGGUAAGAUUUGGAAGUCUUAACUUCAUGGCUAACAUCCGCGGAGACUUGAUCUUCAACGGAUGAUAAGCACAUUUCAUAUAUACAAUUUUGGCAUAGAAAUAUAUUAUUUAUUGAGAUAUGACCAUUAAUUCUUGCUGUGAAAUAUUGAAUAUUUGCAUGAAAAUCAUAUAAAGUAUCAUUUACUAGUCUUUGGUCUAUUUUGCAGAAAUGUGCGCAAAGGCACUAUAAAUCUUCAAGAUCCGGACUAAGUGGCUAAGAGAACGAAGAAGAGGAGGAAGAAUGGACCCGACCGUGAAGAAAAGAAGUAACCAGAGGGGCCAAGCUAAAGUUGGAGGGAUCAUCUUGUGAAGAAAGAAUAGAAGUGGAAGGGCAAAAGAGCAAAAGUGGCAGAUCAGAGGAGGGGGAUCAAAUCCCUACCGCAGCCUCGAUCCCCUUCGGGCCUGGCUACAUCUCAUCUCUCUCCCUCUCCCCUUCUUCUCCAUCACCGGCCGCCGCCACGGCCAGGCCGGCAUGGUGGUGAGCCAUUCACCCAGCGCCACCAUCUCCUUCUCCUCCCCGAAGCCAUCCAUCUCCACCGUCCGUGCCCAGCGCCAACCAGCACCGCCUCCAUCCAUCACCCAGCGCCACCACUACUCCUCCUACCUCCAGUGCCUACAUCCACCACACCAGCCGCUCCCUCACGCGCCGCAUCAGACACUCCGGCGCGAGUGUCUGGUCACCCGCGUGAGUGCGCCACCCAACUCCUUCGCCUCGGAUCUAUCUCACAGACCACCAGUGUGCCACCACCAUCGCCAACUCCCUCUUCCUUCUUCUGCUCUCUGCCUGCUGCUGCUUCUUCUUCCCACGCCCCUGCUGCUGCUUGCUCUCUCAAUCUCUGCUACUACUUCUCCAUCUCUUGCUGCUACUUCUUCUCUGAACCUCAUUUCUUCUCCUUGCAUCCCCUUGUUGCUGCUCCAUUCCCAAACUGCUGCUACCUAUUCUUCUUCUUCUCUGAACCUUUGUCCUUCCCCUCGUUGCUGCUCCUCACUUGCGCUAGCUGCUCCUGUUCCCUACGCCUCUGCUACUGUUUCUUGCUUCUCUUCUGAACCUGAAGCUCUCUCUCUCUCUUAUCUCAAACUGCUAUAAACUUUAGAAGUGUAAUGUUCAGAAUUUUGUAAUGUUCAGGGUUGUGGAAUGUUCAGACUUGACAAGUUCUAGCAACUCAUUAUUUGUUCAGUUUAGUACCUGUAUAAUAAAGUACUUGUUAUGUUGGACCUGGCUAGUUGAGGCCUUGUUAAUUUGGGUGAUAAUUGAUCUAUUAGAAUGUGCUUCUGUGUAUUACUAUUCUGCUAGUAUAUGUGCGUGUUCACCUUGUGUACUAAUCCCCUUUCCUAGUUAUCUUCCAGUACUUGUCAACUUUGUGUGUGUUUGAUUUUCAGUCCAUGUGUUAGCUCAAGUACCUGUGCCAUAUAAAUAUGUGUGUGUGCUUGUGAUUUAAAUAAUCUGUUUUUUGUUCAGUAAUUCAUACGCUUGCUAGAUAUAUAUGGUCAUGCCUUUUGAAUUCCCUUGUCACUGAUGUUAGCCUUUUAGUUUCUAUAAUAAUAUGAAAAUACCAAAAAGACAGAGUAAAGAUAAUCUUCAUCUCCCUUUGCUUCUGUCAUUUUCUUUGUUGAUGAUCCUUGUUAGUGUUAGGUUUAUUUUCUGUUUUCAUCAUUCAAUUGGGUCACCUAGCUUUAGUUGAACGUAGUUGCCGUCGCCUAGUCCCUGUGGAGAACACGACAUUCGUAGUUUGGGGCGUAAAAACCCCGCUAUAUUACAAUUGAUUAUUUUGGCGCCGUUGCCGGGGACUAGCGUCGAGCGAUUGUGCUAGGCUAUAGACUAGGUUUUUCUUGUUUUCAUCUUGUGCCAUAUAUUUGUGAUAUUUCUCAAGCCACUAACCCCUGUUCUAGUUAGUAUCUUUUUGUCUUCUUUUCCUUUUUGCAGGUUGGAUUAUCCUCUCGGAAAUGGCAUUCUAUUCAGAUCAUCAUGCUUAUGCGAGCAACACUACAAACAGCACAGAAACUAUUCAAGAACUGAUAGGUAAGAUUUCCCAUCGAUUAGAUGAUUUAGCUCGGCAGUGAGAAGUAGUUUUAGAGGAUAGGCCUAGUUCUUACUAUCCUUAUUCUAAAGGCCAUCCUUAUGUUGCUCCUACUUGCCAUAUUUGUGGAUUUCAGGGCCAUUCGCCCGCUGAAUGUCAGCGUGGCUACUCUCACACUCCGGAUUGUUUUGGCAUGAGCUUCGCUCAAGAGCAUAGCUCAUACCAAAACAAUUACUCACAUGGGUGGCCUGAAAUCCCGAAUAUGUCAUAUAGGAGCAACAACCCUGAGAUCUCACAGUUUGGUUCUAGUAAUCAUAUGCAGGGAUUUAGGUACAAUGAGGAGAGCCACAACUAUGCACCACAACAAUUCCAUUCAGCUCCUACUCAUAUACCACAGCACCAAGAGAUGUGUCCAAUGGAGUUAAAUGGUCCUCCAUUUGGUCAACCAACAACUCCAGCACCUGUUGUGCAAUCUCAUGUGCAAGUGCCCACACAAGAUGAGUUCGAUGACAUAGACAAGCUCACACUUUUGAGUCUCGAGUUCACUUGGAGUGCCGAGGAUGAUCCUAUUAGGAAGGUUAUACUAGAGGAAAUGAAGAAGAUUAAGAGUGGAAAGGAGCUAGUGGAUGAAGUAAGGAAGAUUGAGAAGAACAUCAACGCUGGUAGUACUAUCUCAUCUCUCCUUGAGCUGAGUGCUGCUGAGAUUUCUAGUCAUACAUGUGAGAUUCCAACACCUUCACAUUUCGUUGAGCAAGAUAGCAAGUGCCUUGAGCAAGAAAUACCUCAGAUUGAAGAAGAUGAACUAGAAGACAAGGAACAAGAUGGUCAAGAGCUGCAAUUCCCAAGUGAUCAAGUUGAAGACUCAUCAUCUACUACUCCUGAAGAAGUACAAGAAGCUGCUGUAGAUGAAGAUGAAGAACCUGAGAUUCAUUGGACUAUUAUCAUACAUGAGCAUGAUGUGUCAGGUUUACCCAAUCCUCUUGAUGACAUGAGUCCUUAUGAUUUAUUUGCUUCUACCUUGCAUUACAUGAUGCCAUCACUUAAGAUUUAUUUGAAAAAUCAUUUACUUGGAUAUGAUGAUACAUACACUGUUGGUGGCAUUGCUCUCAUUUGUGAUGAUCACAACUACUUUCCUCAUGCUAGUCUUGAGCUUAAUGAUAAAUGUCAUCCUCGUGUGAGUAUUGACCAUGCUGAUUUCUGCCAUCCUAAACAUGUGCUUUAUAGUUAUGCUUAUAUAAUUGGAUAUUCCAUUGAUGACUUGGAGGGCAUCGACCGUAUCACUUGUAGUUGUUUGUGUGAGUCCUAUUUUAGGCUUUUGCUACUGCACUAUUUACUACAUGCUGACCAGGUUCGAGGUGACAUUCCUUGGGAUCCUGGUGGAGUCAGAGCAUGGCGAUGAGGAGAAGCAAUGGGGCACACAUAUGGAAGAGUGAAGCUGGAGCAUCCACGAGGAAGCAAGGGAGAAGAGCUGCAGCUGGUGAGGUGAUCGAGCGAAUGCUACAUGAUCAAAGCCCGGUGAGAUGUUUCAUGACCCAUUCUGAAUAUCAUAAAUACAUGCUAAAUUCAAUUGCUAGUUGGGUUGCUUGAGCUAGUUAUUACUUGUUGUCAAGCUGAAAUUCACCUUUGGCAUUGUGCUUGAUGUGAAUUUGUGAACUUGAUUUCUGAAUGCCUUGUAAACUAGUGAUCUACACCAUGCAUGCUUUGCUGAAAUUUGUGGAAGUUAUUAGUUUUGAGUGCUCAAAUCCCUAGUACACUAGAAAACUUGAUCAUUUUUUGCUUUUACCUUGAUACACCUAGAUCACCAUGUUUAGAUGCUGAAUUUGUGCUAAGUGUGUUCCCAUUGAGAGCAAUCACCUAACCACUAUGGAUUAGCAUGCUAUGUUCCCUGGAUCAGUAGCAUGUGAACCAGACAUGGAGAAGUGAUGAUUCCUGUUUUUGUGCUUAUGUGUUGUUCAUUUAAGAUAGGUAAUAAUGAAUAUAUAAGUCUGGCUACCUACAGUAGCAUGUCAUGUUCCCGGGAUCGGUGGCAUGUGAAAUCGGGUUAGCUUGGGCAGUAAUUAAUAAUAAUAAAAAAGUAAUUGUCGAACCAGGUGUAUACCAUGAUCUCGGGAUCGGUGGUAUGUUCCUUUGGGGAGACAAACAAAAAAAUUAAUAAAAAUUGGUUGAGCCAGGUGUAUACCAUGUUCUCGGGAUCGGUGGUAUGUUCCUUCGGUGAGACUAAUAAAAUAAUAUGUGUGUUUCUUUCAAAUUCAAUAAGUGGUUCAACCACAAAGUCAUAUUUCUGCAAAUAAGAGAUUUAGUUCCAGUUCUUUUUGUUCUCGGGAUCAUGCUCUCUUUAGGAACCAUUUGGCGCAGUCAUCAUUUAAACUUGUUGAUCCUCUUUUAUCAUUGUAAAAGUUUAAAAUGGUCAUGCUUACUAGUAUCCUACCGCUUUGAAGCACUCCUAACCAUUAAUUUUCACUAGCUAAGUCCAAAGCAUGCACUGUUUAGAGAUCUACUUCACUUGGUAUUCUCUAGUCAGCUCACUGUUCACAUUCUUGUUCUUGUCAUAUGCCUUUGCUCGAGGACAAGCAAAAGUUUAAGUGUGGGGAACUUGAUAAGCACAUUUCAUAUAUACAAUUUUGGCAUAGAAAUAUAUUAUUUAUUGAGAUAUGACCAUUAAUUCUUGCUGUGAAAUAUUGAAUAUUUGCAUGAAAAUCAUAUAAAGUAUCAUUUACUAGUCUUUGGUCUAUUUUGCAAAAAUGUGCGCAAAGGCACUAUAAAUCUUCAAGAUCCGUACUAAGUGGCUAAGAGAACGAAGAAGAGGAGGAAGAAUGGACCCGACCGUGAAGAAAAGAAGUAACCAGAGGGGCCAAGCUAAAGUUGGAGGGAUCAUCUUGUGAAGAAAGAAUAGAAGUGGAAGGGCAAAAGAGCAAAAGUGGCAGAUCAGAGGAGGGGGAUCAAAUCCCUAGCGCAGCCUCGAUCCCCUUCAGGCCUGGCUACAUCUCAUCUCUCUCCCUCUCCCCUUCUUCUCCAUCACCGGCCGCCGCCACGGCCAGGCCGGCGUGGUGGUGAGCCAUUCACCCAGCGCCACCAUCUCCUUCUCCUCCCCGAAGCCAUCCAUCUCCACCGUCCGCGCCCAGCGCCAACCAGCACCGCCUCCAUCCAUCACCCAGCGCCAACCAGCACCGCCUCCAUCCAUCACCCAGCGCCACCACUACUCCUCCUACCUCCAGUGCCUACAUCCACCACACCAGCCGCUCCCUCACGCGCCGCAUCAGACACUCCGGCGCGAGUGUCUGGUCACCCGCGUGAGUGUGCCACCCAACUCCUUCCGCCUCGGAUCCAUCUCGCAGACCACCAGUGUGCCACCACCAUCGCCAACUCCCUCUUCCUUCUUCUGCUCUCUGCCUGCUGCUGCUUCUUCUUCCCAUGCCCCUGCUGCUGCUUGCUCUCUCAAUCUCUGCUACUACUUCUCCAUCUCUUGCUGCUACUUCUUCUCUGAACCUCAUUUCUUCUCCUUGCAUCCCCUUGUUGCUGCUCCAUUCCCAAACUGCUGCUACCUAUUCUUCUUCUUCUCAGAACCUCUGUCCUUCCCCUCGUUGCUGCUCCUCACUUGCGCCAGCUGCUCCUGUUCCCUACGCCUCUGCUACUGGUUCUUGCUUCUCUUUUGAACCUGAAGCUCUCUCUCUCUCUCUUAUCUCAAACUGCUGUAAACUUUAGAAGUGUAAUGUUCAGAAUUUUGUAAUGUUUAGGGUUGUGUAAUGUUCAGACUUGACAAGUUCUGGCAACUCGUUAUUUGUUCAGUUUAGUACCUGUAUAAUAAAGUACUUGUUAUGUUGGACCUGGCUAGUUGAGGCCUUGUUAAUUUGGGUGAUAAUUGAUCUAUUAGAAUGUGCUUCUGUGUAUUACUAUUCUGCUAGUAUAUGUGCGUGUUCACCUUGUGUACUAAUCUCCUUUCCUAGUUAUCUUCCAGUACUUGUCAACUUUGUGUGUGUUUGAUUUUCAGUCCAUGUGUUAGCUCAAGUACCUGUGCCAUAUAAAUAUGUGUGUGUGCUUGUGAUUUAAAUAAUCUGUUUU